UUUGCCAAAGAAAAAAAAAGGAAAAAUUUUUUGCCAGAGGGACUAGUGUCCACCAUUACAGUAUAUUUAUUCUGCAUCAAUACAUCAAAUAACUUUGAUCAUCUCUCUCAUUUAGCUCUAUUUCUAGCUAAGAAAAACUCAAUCUGAAAUAUGAGAGAAAAAUGAUCAUAAAUGAAAAUGAAGAUACAAAAAAGUCUUAAAAUUUUUAUUCAAAGAGGUGUGAAGUUAUAUUUAGUCAGAAGGAUUGUGUAAUCGUUCGUGAAAAUUUGAUGUUUUCCUUUAGCAUGAGAUUUUCAAACUUCUUUAGUUAAAUAAAUGGUUCCACUUCUUCGAACUCGCUAUCCUAACUAUAUAUUUUCUUAGGGGUUUACAUUGGUAACUUCAUUAGCAUAGUUGCAACAUUGGAUGCAUCGACCAUCACGAUUGAAACCACAGCAACCAUGUGAGCAACCAUUUCCACCUCCACCUCUACCGUACCCACCGCAUCUAUAGUAAUUUCCGCAGCCAGGGGUGUCCGCGGAGCUGCCGCGGCCGUCACUUAAAAGGUCUCUUGCUGCCACUUUUGGGGACAGGACAAGAACGACUACGAUGGAGAAAACAAGAGUCGUCACAAAAGGAAAAUGCUUGGAGUUGGAAUAAUUCAUUUUAAAAUGUUCUUUUCUUUCUAGUAAUUAACUUGUAAUUUUGGAGAGGGAAUGAGAAGAUUUUGCACCCUUCUCAUUCUAUUUUAUAGGCAGAAAUAAAAGACAAAAUUAGCUCCAAUUCAAAUAUGGCAACUAAAAACGACUAACCCCAUUCAAAUUUCUUUCUCUUUUUUCUUUUAAGUCAACCAUGUGAGAGUGAUGGAUAUUCGUGCAUCCAAAGGACAUAUAUGUAUUGGAGCUAAACCAUUGCUUAAAUUGACAUUUAAAUGAAAAAUAGAAUGAAUUGAAAAAAAAAUCCUUUUAGUGCUUCAAAUUAAAAUUAAAUACAAAUAAUAUUUAAGUGCAUUUGUAUCAUUGUUGAACUUUUUUUGUAUCCAACUCCAACCAGUACACUUCAUUUAGAAGGAAAAAAGAAAACAGGUUUGCCAAACUAUACAUAUGCACACAUAGUACAUAUAGUUACAUAUUUUCACAUACUCCUUUUUCUUUAAAAAGAAAUUUCUAAAUAACUUUUCCUCGAAGUGGGUUGGGCGAAACUAUUAAUAUUGUUAUGAUUUAUGUCAUUUCGUAGGGGUAGCUUUCAAUUCUUCUAUUAAAUGCUCUUUUGUCUGCCAAGUUCACUUAACAAAUCAAAUAAUACAAAAUGAACAUACAUUAUUGAUAGGUGAAUUCAAGGUAUGCUCUUCUUUUCGCAACUCCAUAAUAAGAAUAAAGAAUAAUUUUUAUAAAAGAGAAGAAUUUACCAUUGAAUAAUUGAGUGGAAAGAAGAAUAUAAGUGUAACUUAAAGAUGCAUUUAGUUAAUAUGGAAAAAAUUGAACUCGUUGCAGCUUAAUUUGAAUUUCUAUUAUCAAAGUACUGCAUCCCUCUAUGAACACAUUUGUCGUUCAAAGCAAAAGGCUAAGAAGAAGAUUAUCAUCUUUAAUUCGGUGCUGUCUCCCUUCUACCAUUUGGAACGAAAGAAAUAACAGAAUUUCCAACGAUAAAGAAAAAUUCAUUUAUAAAGUUUAGAAAGAUAUUUAGGCUUUAACCGGUCUCUAGACUCGCAAAUUCCCCGGUUCAUCAACUAUGGUGCCAACACUAUAUUUGUUCCUUUUGGGUUGUUAGGGGCUUCUCUCUAGCCCUUUUUAUUUUUUCUGCUUAAUUCUUGUAGUUAUUUUUUAUCAUUAAUGAAGCAGAAAUAAUGAUGGUACUAAAGGGUGUUGAUCUAGUAGAGAUGCUCAAGUGAUCCAAAAUCGUAUUCUUAAAAAAAAAAAGAAGAUGGAUUUAAGUAUUAUUAUAAAACAGUUUAAAAGCAAAUAUAAUUAAAAAUAAAAAAUAACCAUAUAAUUCUCUUCUUUCCAAACUCUUUCUAUUAUAACCUCAAGUAUAAUGUUCAACUUGCCACGAAAAAGUUCUCUCGUAUAAGCCUACUGUAAACUUGUAGUCUAGGAUAUUUAAUAGUGUAAGAUUUCAUCUUAAAACCAAUUGAGAAUGAGAUGAGUAACUAUCUGUUUUAUAAUGAGUAUAAAUACAAAUCUUUAGUUUUUUCAACCCGGGAUUCUUAAUCGUUGAUCGGAUUUCAAUUUCAUUUUAUUGGAUCAAAUACAUGUUUGGACUCUUUAUAUGGAUCAUGACACCAUAUUCAAUCGACAACAAAAAGACUAACUCGUCUAUCUUAUAAGUAUGGUUAGUCUCAUGGUUUUUUCGAUGUACGUUUCUCAAUAUUUGAACAUAAGAUAAGAAAAAACCUGAUACUUUUUUUUGGAGAAAGCUACCAUAGGUAGCGAAGAAUAUGCCUGGAAUGGCUAGUUUGUAAUCUCUGUUAAAUAAAAUGUAAAUUUUAACUGAAUGGUAUGAGCUUUAAAUACCAUAUCAGAAUCAUUUCACUUUAUAACUAGGUGUUGCUUUUGUAAAGAAAAACUCAUGAAAUCUUCGAGAAUAGUCACUUUUCUAUAGAUGUGGACGAUUUUGUUGAACCAUGUAGAUCACUGCAUUCACCUUCCUCUUCUCUUUGCAUUUGUUUGCUUUUAUUUGUGAGAUUUUGAACCUAGCAAAACAGAUCGCCGUUGAAGAGUUUAAAUAUAGGUUGAAGAAAAAGAAAGUUUAUAAAGAAUUUUGUUUCUGUGUGUUGGAAAAAGAGAAUAUAAUAGCAAAAAUGAUUUUGUGUCAAAACUAAACAAUUUUGCUUCAUUAUUUCUCACUUACAUGGUUGUCAUUCAGCAUUAAAACAUAGAAGCUUUCGCAUCAUUCAUUUCACCAACCUAAUUAGUAGCAUUUUGGGCUUCAUUCCUUAACUUUCUUCUUUGUUUUGGGCCUGUAAAAGAAAAUAACCCAACAAAAGUGUGGUGUACGAGCAUUAAAGAUUUAUCAAGAAAGCCCUUUUUUCAGAGCUUCAAGAUUCUGAAUUUCGAGUAACAAUGGCAGUAGCAAGGUAUGAGAUAGAGAAUUUUUAUAGAAAUGGUGAUUUUGGUUUGUGGAAAGUCAAAAUCAAAGCCAUUCUAGGCCAACAGAAGGCUCACAAGGCCCUUUUGGAUCCAUCAACCUUACCAAAUAUAGUCACAACACAAGAAAAUGAAGAUUAGGAAUGGUAGCUAUAGAACCUUGGUUUUGAAUUUCAAAAACAAGUUAUUGACCAAGACACUGCCUACAAGAUGUGCCGCUAAGCUGGAAGGAUUUUUUUGCCACCAAAGAUCUCCAAAACAAAAUGUUCUUGAGAGAAAUUCUUUACAUUCUAGAUGGACUCUUGGAAGAGCUAGCCUCACUAACAACCUAGAAUAUGAAUUUAGAAAAUAGUUUAUGAUUUCAAGGAUCUUGGAGAAAAGGUAGGUGAUGAGAAUGAGGCCUAUGUCCCUUUGAGUUCACUAACAUAAACUAGAGAAGUGAAAAAAGCUUUGAAGUGUGGCAGUGGUAUCGUACAGUCUCUAAUGUAUAAUCCUCCGAUGCUUUCUCUUAGUUUCUAACUUUGACUUGAGGGCUGAUGAGCGCGCUUAUUUUGAAACCAAAAGAGUCUAGGUCUUUAAUUUGUAGAUGGGGAAGAGAUGAUCAAUUUGAGAAGAGACAAUUUGUUUGUUUGUUGGAGAAGAGUUGGUCUAUCCAUUGAGAGAUGCCUAGUUCGUUGAAGAAGAUCACUUUGUUGAAUUCUGAAUUCUCUUAUCUAUAGAUCUAUGUGUGAAGGUCCCAAAUGAAGGUAGUCUCUUUUAUUUAUACAGAGUUUUGGGAGGACUAUAUUUUGAUUGUUUUGUGUUUAUUUCAUAAAUAGAGCUCCUUUACUUCACCAUCUUCUUAUUCGAACACUUGUCAUAUUUGUUGGGAUUCUCUCAUUCUGAUGUUUCUUUCCUCCUUUACUCAUGCAGAAAUUUGUAAGAAAUUGAGAGUUUGGAUAGGUUCCAUCCUAAAAAUAUUGGAAGCUUAGCUUAUAAGAGCUAGUGGAGUUUUUAAUUACUAAAGCAACAACAAAUUGAGCGGGUGUAAUCAACUUACGAGUUUAGACUUCAUGUAAUCAAUUAAUAGGUGGAAUUUCACGUGUAAUAUCUUCAUAUAAGAAGUGUGUGAAUUUAGACUUAAGCCACAACCUUCUAAUUAGCGAAAUGCCAUUGAUUUUCAUUUAAAUUUUUGCUCUACCGUUUCUUUGAUUUAUCGUUAAAAUGAAUUUAUCGACAUCAAAUUCCAUUGUUUGUUCAUAUAAAUAUUUCUAUAGUCAAUUACACGAAACAUUACCUAGCGGUGGGAGCGUUUUUAUGGAAAGAAAAAAAAACAAAAACACCACCGAUAGAAAUUUAUAAAUUCUCUUGAAAAAUAAAUUUAACUUUUCUUUUAAAUCUAUAAUUUAGUGAUAAAAUUUAACAUUGAUAGACCGUAAGCUACACAAAAUAUUCAACAAUGAAACAAUCUUUCUUAUUAACAAGUACACUAUAAAAUAACAAAAUGAUAUACAUAUUAUUCUAAUUACUUUCCAUAUCAAAUUCAACUUUUUUCAAGUCUAUCAGUGAUAAAAACUUAUCAUCAAUGGACUCUAAUAAAAAAAAAAAAAAAAAAAAACAAUGGAACUACACAUUUCUUACUUCAACUUUCUUCCAAUCUACCAAUGAAAGAGACCGAAACAUAUCACAUAUAGACAAUCAAAUACACAACAAAAACAUAAUUGAAACUAUAUAUUGUCUUAUUUUUCAUUAAAAAUUCUUUAAGUCUAACACUAAUCGAAACUCAUGAUCGAUAAAUUAUAAAGAACAGAAAAAAAACAAAAACAAAACAAAAGAAAAAGAAACUAUGCGUUCUCUAACUUUUUAUGAAAAUAUAUUCAACUUUCUUCUGCUCUAUCUACUCUAUCACUGAUAGAAACAUAUAAUCGAUAAACAAUACUUAUCAACAAUCUCAAAAAACAACAUUUUAACUAUGUAUUGUCUUACUUUUCAUGAAGAUAAAUUCAAUUUUCUUCAUGUCUCCUGGUGAUAGAAACAUAUAAUUCGUAGACUCGAAACAAAAAAAACAAUAAAACUACAUUUUCUCACUUUUCAUGAAAAUAUAUUUAGUUUUUAAAAAUUUAUUGCUCAUGAACACUAAUCAACAACAUCAAAAAAAGCAGCAUAAAAAACUGUAUAUUUUACUUUUCGUGAUAAUGAAUUCAACAUUCUUCAAGUUUAUUGUGAUACGAACCUACUCGAUAGACUUUAGUUGAACAAGUUAACAAAAAAAAAAAAAAAAAAACACACACACACACAUGAAACUAUACAACACUUCUCAUGAUAAAUAUUAAAUUUUUUUCUAACAUUGAUAGACCCUUAUAGAAAAAACAGCAAAGAAACUAUAAAUUUUUUCUUACUUUUUAUGAAAAUAAAUUCAACUUUUAUUAUUAGGGAUAGAAACCUAUCUAGAUUCUAAUGAACAAAAAAACAAUACAAUGGCAAUCACUUUAAAUAUAUUUUUUUAAUGAUGACAUGGUUUUAUAAUUGAUGAAAGUUUAUCGAUAAUAAAAAUUUAUCAUUUAUAGAAGCAUUAACGAUCCAUUUCUACGAAUUAUUCAAAACUAAAAAAAAAAUUGUGAAACAUGGUAAUAUGUUUUCAAGGAUAUGCGUAUUUUCAUCGUCAAUAGAAGUUUUAUCGAUGAUAACAGUGUAUCAUUGAUAUAGUUUGGAACUAUUAUUAAUCAAUUUUUUUUUAUCAUUUAUUGAAAAUAAAGAAAAUCAUGAACCACACCAAUAUAUUUUCAAUGAUAUGCUUUUAUUGUUGAUAACUUUUAUCGUUUAUAAAAGUAUAUCAUUGAUAGUGUGCUAUCACUAAUAAAUUUGGGAUACAAAAAUAUUUGUGAUACAGGUAUAGCAACAAAAAUUUGCUAUCAUCCAUAAAUCGAUAUUGUUUUUUUUAUAAAAUCAUAUUUAUGAUACAAAAGCAUUGAUGAUAAUAAUAUGGUAUUAAUGAGAUAGAUUUCUAUAAAAUGAGUCUAUUAUCAAUAAUAAAUUGUUAUCAUGUCUAUAAAUGAUAGACUUUAAAAAGUGAAAAUUUUGUGGCUUCAAUGAGGAUUAAAGAAAUUUUUUGUUAUAUUUACAAUUAGUUUUUUUGAAAAAAGAGUCUAUCAAUGAUAAAAUUUUUAAAGCAAUUUAUAUCAAUGAUAAACUUCUAUAAGUGAGAAUUUCGUGCCUCAAGCAUAUUUUGAUGUCUUUAAUAGACUUUUUUUUUUUUUUUUGCACAUUUACAUGGGUUGAAGGUAAAUUUUGUUAUAUUUACCAUUAGUUUUAAGUUUUGCUAUUUUCUUAAUAAUAAUUUUAACCUUGUUUUGGUGCAUAUGCCAGAACCCCUUAAAUUAAUCUAUUUUUAAAAUAGAUUUUUAUUUAAGUUUGAUCCAAUUUAUUUUUUAAAAUAUAGAAUGACCAUUGCAUUUUUUUAUUGGCCAAUUUCCAUGUCUUUAAUUAAUAUUAAUUUGAGUUCAUCUAAAAUUUUAAUAAGUCUCAAAUUAAUAGGGUGAGAAUUUGUGAUUAAUUGAAAAUUUCUUAGACGACAAAAAAAAAAAAGAUUGGCCAUUUAUUUUAAGUAUAUAAAUGGCGAUGCAAAUUAAUAUAUACACGUUCAAUAAAAAAUAUAAAGAGAGGAAUUUUCAAAAAUAACAAAUUUUACAAAAUAUUUACAACUUAUAGUAAAUUCUAUAACUAAUAGUCAUUGAUAUGCUAUUGUGAUAGAAGACUAUCGUUGAUAUAAUUCAAAAUUUUGUUUUAACUUGUUAAUAUUUUAAUUUAUUUUUAUAUUUUUAGAAAUGCUCCAAAUAUAAAAAGAGAACUAUGUAAAGAAAUGUCACAAAGUUAGAAAUUAUCUUUUAGGAUGCCUCCAAAAUUUUAAGGAUGCUCUUCGUCCGUGCAUUAUAGAAUGUUCGAAAAUCUGUAGUUGUUGCAUUUUUAUUGGAAAAAAUGUAAAGAAGUAUUAAAUUUUUUUAAAAAAAUUGCAUUUGGUUUUGAGUUAAAAAAGAAGAGGAAAUAAGUAUUAAAUUUAAAAAAUGGUUGGUGUUGAAAUAAGUAUUAAAAUAAAUAAAAUAUUAUAUAUAUAAAAAAUAAGAAAAUUUGUCGAUAAUAGAAAAUUUGACAAAAUAUUUACAUUUUUUUAUGGAAAAUAAGGCUUAAUAAAUUUUAGAAUUUUUUUUAGUGAUUUUUUCUUUGGAGUAACUAGUUUGUUUUUAGUUCUAUUUGUAAAAUAACUCUAUAAAAUAAUAUAAAUAAAAAUUAAGAAAAUAAAACAUAAAAAAUCUCACAAACUCCCCAUUCUUCUAUUUAUUUGAAAAAAAUUUCAACUUGUAUCUUACUAAACUCAAUAAAUAUCACUACUUAUAGACAAUUUGACAAACUCGAUUAUAUUGACUACUACGAGUUUGAUAUCUUCAAUACAUAUAAUAAAAAAAUUGUGAAAUAACACAUGGCACAAUAGGACACCAACCAGAAUGAUAAUUGAUAAUGGAAAACAUUUUUUGUUGUCAGAGACACAAAAUCAAAUAUUUCCACUCAAUCAUAUUUUACUAAAUUGUUUUAGAACUAAUAUUUAAAUAAACAUUUUGGAAAUGUGAAAUAUUCAUUUAAUUUUUAUUUAAAAAGCCAGAUUUUGUUUUUGCUUUUCGAAUACAACUAAGAAUUGAACGAUCGUAUUUAAAAAAAUAUGCAAAUUAUUGAAAGUUAAAAAAAACACAAUAACAAAAAAAACAUAUAACAGAUGUACCAAACCGAAACUCUAAUUUUUUAAACAUUAAACAUUAAAAAUCAAAUAGUUAUUAAACGAUACACAAACAUUUAUUUUUAAUAGUACAAAUUAUAAAGGUACAGUGCAUGUGGAAGUGUGUUGUUUUAAUCGUUGAAUUUUCCAAUACCAUAAAAGAGAAACGCAAUGACACUGGCUGAGUUUUAGUCGUUUCCAAUAAAUAUUACUUUCUUGAAAUCUAUUUUUAUCAUUAAAUUUAAAAUUUAUCAAUGUUACAAUACGUGAAAUCCUAUAGGCUUCUCUAAGUAUUCAACGACCAACGAAAAGCUUACACUCACGAGCACGUGACAUUCUACUUUUAACCUUAAGAGAAUAAACAUACCCAACUAAUUACGACUAAGUUAAAUUUAUUUGACAAGAUACAUAUAAUUCGAACCUUGCUACUAAAAGUAUUAACAAGUUUUUUUUUCAAUAUUGCGCGAAUAAAAAUUUGAACAUGUUUAAACAAUAUAUGUAAAUAAUGUUUUAACCUAUUGAACCAUGCUCAAAUGAAAAGGAAGUAUGAGGUUACAACAAAUUUGACCAACUUUUCGUAUAGCAACAAUAUUAAAGACUUGAUUAUAUCAACUUUUCUAAUGUUUAUAAAAACUUUUUUUUACAUCUCUAAAGAACUUUUUCUUUCAAAUGUGGGGUUAGGGCAAUAUAUUUUUAUAAUGUCGUUUGGUGUGGGUGUAGCUUUCAGUCCUUCUAUCAAAUUGGUUUCUUUGUACGCCAACUUUGACUUAACAAGUCAAGAAUAAAACGAAUUUCAAAAGAAAAAAGGACCAAAUUCCACUUUAAUUAAUUACCUCUAUUCCAACAUAUCAUGUAGAAAUUUUCAUACCAUGAAAAAGAUGUAUUAUAAACUUUGGAAGGGGUUAAGAUUUUAAGAAUCCUAUUUUGUGCAGUUUUGUAUUUGGUUUUUUGUACACCUAAUAUAUGCUCUGUAUUUAUUAUAUUAUCUCAUAAGCUUGGUAUGCGUGAGAGUUAGAGGUCCAAGAAUACAUGUGUAACCCUAAAACUAAUUUUUAGUUAAAAGAAACAAAUUAAUCUAUAUAAUUGACAUUAAAAAGUUUAUUAGUGAUAGAUUUUGGUUUUAAGAAUUAUUGAUAGAAAUUUCUGUUUGACUAACUUCAUCCUUUCCUCCCUCAUUUCAAAUCUCUUUUAUUCUCAAUUUUGAUCACUGACUUUUCUUUUCCUUUCGUAACUUGCUUGUAAGUAGAUUUUUAAAAGUUUUCGUCACCUAAAAUAAUAAAAUAGAGAAAAGCAAAUCAAUGUUUAAAAUUUGAGUGAAAUUAAAGGCUAUGACCUUUCAAAGUUUAAACAUAUAUACAAAAUAGUUUUCAUGUUAUAUUAUAAGUAAAAGUCUUAAAACUUUGUUUAAUAUAUAUAAUUAGUUAACAUGUUAGCUUCAUGAAAAACGUAUAAAAAAUGAAGGAUCAUGAAAUAUUUGGUACAACAAGUCUUGCAUGUAACGAAGAUAAUAUUAUUAUUUGCAAUUGCAUGAAGUUUCACGCAAACUAAGAAAAAAGAAGAACGAAGAAACAAACUCUUGCAUGUCUUUUAGUUUUCUUUUUCUAUUUCCUUGUUUUUGAUUUUUCCUAUACCACAAAGAAGAGAAGUGGAUUUAUUAGAUACUUUAGAAUAUCUCAACUCAAAUACAUCUAGUAGUGAUGCAUUCAUUCAAUAAAAAAUAGCUUUGCACGAAACAAAAAGAGGAAUCUAUAAAGCAAAAUAAUUGAAUCUUGUGCUAAAUGUCACCAUGUGUCCGAGACGAUGCAGAGUGACCAACGUUUUCAAAUUAAAUCGUUAGUUUUAAAUCAAAUCUUGGACUACAAAAAAUGUGUUCUCUCCUCAAGAAUUUUAGAAAAUCGGAUUUUCAAAUUUUCUAGAUUCUGUCUUAGAAUUUUGUUAAAGGAAAAUGAUAUAUAAGUUAAUAUAAAAGAUAGGAAACCUUAUGAAAUGAUUGAUUAAAAUUUGAAUGUUUGAAAAGCAUAAAAAAUAUAUAUAUAACAUUAUAGACAAAUUUUCUAAAUUAUUAAAAAGGAGUUUUUAUUUUAAAACAUAGAGAACUUUAAAUUGGUAGGAUUUUAAAACAUUGAAAAUAUUAAUUAAGAAAUAGUUGAAAUUUUUAUAUAAGAAAAAAUAUGAGGCUUAAUAGAAAAAUUAAAUAAGUAAAAAUAAGGAUAAAUAAGCAUCAUAGAAAAUUAUGCAAAUAUAAAAUAACAUAUUGAGAUUUUAAUAAAAACAUAUGAGUGAUCGAUCUAGAACUUUAAAAGAAUCAAUUCCUUCACCUCAAUAAUUCUAGAAAAUCGAACUCUUAAAUUUUUUAUAUUUCGUUUUCGAAAAUAAAUAUGCUCGAAACAAAAAAUUGUAAAACAUAUAACUUAACGAACUUUUAAAUGUCUCAAGAGAAAUUUAACAUGUAAAUAAAUAUUAAAUUGAACAUGAAAGUAGCCAUUAAUGAAAAAUAUUAUGUAAACAACCAAUAUCAUUUAAAGAAGCAUAACCAUACAUUAAUAAACAUUAAAAAAACACAUUAACAUUCUAUAGAAAAAUGAUUGGAAAUCGAACUUCUAAAGAAUCGACUUCUCACCUUAAAAAUUCUAAAAAAUUGAUCUUCCAAAUUUUGGAGAUUAAGAAAAUUAAAUGUUAACAAAUUUAAACAAUUAUUAGCAAUAACAUAUUAAAUUGACCACAAAACAAGAGUGUAAAAUAUAUUAAAUAACAUAUAAAAGAAGAUAAUAUUAAUUAAAGAAGCAAUAAUCAAUGCCAUAAGAAGAAAAAAAUAAUUAAAUAAAUAAAAGUGCUAAUUACAAAAAAAGUAAUGAUACAAUAUAUAGAAAAUAAAGCUUAAGAAUAAAUUAAAAAAAUAAAAAAGAGAUAAACAACGAGAUAGGAAGAAAUAUGUUAUAAUAUAUAUAUAAGAGAAGUUCAAAAGAUAAUAAAUAAAUAAUUAUAAGAGAAAGAAAAGUAGAUAAAUAAGAACAAGAAAAAUAGAUAAAUAUUUAAUCAUUUAGUUUUUGUUUUGCAUUUCUUUAAAUGGAAGCUUGAAGAAAAAUAAAUAAAGUAAUGAGAAUAGUAAGAAUAAUAAAGAAUAAAGAAUAAAGAACUUUGAAGAAAAAUAAACAAAAUAAUAAGAUGAAGAAAAAGAAAAGAAAAGAAAGAAAGGUUGAAAUCCUAACUCACGUUUUAAACUGUGGAUCAUUUCCACCAAAACUCUACCAUAUACCUACAUUUAAAUUAGAGUUAUAUUUUUAGAAAAUUGUAUCAGAUGACAAGAAAAAAUUAAAAAAAUACAUUCUACAGUACCCUACAUUUAACUAAAAAAUAUUUUAAUUUAUUUUUUGUGUUGCAUCUCCCAUGAUCAAAAAAGAAAGAAUUAUCAAUGGCAAAAAAAAAGCUUCUUCAAAUGGCUAGUUUUUUUUAAUUUGAAAAUAAUACUAAUUUUGACCUACAUCUCAAAAUGGCAUGGAGCCUCUAAUAAACAAAACAAAAUUAAAAAGAUACUAUAUUUAGUAUUUUUCCACCUACUUAAUUAGACUAACUAAUUGAUUUAGUUACUCCAACUAAACAAUUAGUUAAAUAAAUUUAUUUUUUACAAAGUUGGUUAAUCACAAAAUUAAAAAUUUUAGCCAAUUUAAAGCAAACAUUAAUCUAGCAAUUCAUCCAACAAAAUUAGGUGACUGAAAUAAUUUUGGUACCCCAUACUCCAUAGAGCUGACAAGAGAGAGUAGUGCUCCUGAUUUCAUUGCUUCUUUUUAUAUUAGAUAGUAGUACAUUGUUCUAUUUUUAAAAAUUAUUUACAACAUAUACCAAAUUCUAUCACUCAUAGUCAUUCAUAUGAUAUAGUGAUAAAAAAAUAUGAUUGGUAGAAUCUUUCGUAAUAUUUUAAUUUAUUUUGUAAUUUUUAAAAAUAUCUCUAUUUAAAUAAUAUUUUGUUUCUUACGUGUUUGAGUUUUCUUUUCCCUUUGUUUUUGGCUUCCUCUCUCUCUUUUCUCAUAUUAAAGUAAUGCUCUUGAUUUGUGUGAGAUUGUUUUUCUCUUCCUUUAUUAUUUUGUUUUUUAUUGUGGGGUUAUUUUCUACUUCUUUCUUUUAACAUUUGGUUUUAAGUCCUAUGGUUGAACUUUGGCAAAUUGGAAAUGGUAGCCUCCAAGCACCGUAAAAAAAACAUUAGAUAUUGCUCUUGCUUUUAAAGCAUUAUAUUUCAAGUAACAACACUUACGAUUUAGACGUGGGUAACAUAAAAGUUUUGAGAGAUUAUUCUUUUGUAAUUGGGUCAGGGAGAGAACUGCUUUAUGUGAUUGUUUAAAUUUAUCUCAAUAGAGACUUCAAAUUCCCCAAAUUUAUUAUAUAAGUGAAACGUAAUAAUUAAUUAAUUAGACACGGCAUUGGAUAGUUUAUAUAAAUAAUUAAUAAUAAAGCAGCCACAUUUCUUUGAUCAGAACCAUAUUAUACGUUGUUCAUUGUAAUACGAUUAACAUAUAUAAUAAUUAAUCUCACGAGCAUAUAUGCAUUUAUUCAUAACUUACAAACACCAACUUCAGAAAAUAAAGCCAUUUUAUUUAAUGUUACACAAUAACAUGUGCUUAAUUGUUAGGCUUAGCUUGAGGCUUUCCAUCAACAAUACCAGCCUCACCAGCAAAGCUGCAGCACCUGAUGCAACGGCCGCGAAAGCAUUCGCAACAACCUCGGUUGCAACCGUGGAGGCAUUCCGCAAGGUUCCGAGAAUGAGCUCCUCCAUAACUGUGGCGCUCCACAUUGUCAACUUCACCAGUUUCCAUCGUAGCUUCUUCUGCAAAGUAAAUCAUUGAUAUAAUCAUUAUAUACUACCACAAAUUUGACCUUUAUUGAUAACUAAAAAUAUUAUCAAUGAAGCAGUGUCAACAAAACUUUUGACAUCAACAAAAAUAAUUUUGUUAUCGGCAAAAAUCAACGUCAAAUACAAAUAGUUUCUGUUGAUGUUUAUUGUCCAUCAACUAAUUAAAAAACCUACAUUGAUUUUAAGCUGUAAUUAAAAAUUUCAUUGGCGGUUUGUUUGUCAUAAACCUCAACUAAAUAAAAAAAUUAUUUGUCAUAAGCCCAAGCUGUGGUAUAGUACAUAACACUAAUUGAAGGAAUUAAAAGUAGCGAGUAUACAUCGCAUUGCAGGUUUAAAAAAUGAAACUCACUCAAUUUCGCAUCCCUUGCUGUAACAGUUAUCGCCUCCGAGGAAAAGAGGACGACGGCAAAAAGAAGACCGAGCAAGAUGAAGGACUUGGAACUCAUUCUCUCUCUAUUGAUUAGAGAUAUGAUCAAUUUAAUUUGGAGGUGAUGGGGUGAGAAAGUAUUGUAGGAUUGCAAUUGUAUUUAUAGUAGUGAUGACAUAAAAUUCAUGUCAAGGUGGGACAUCCUUAGUCCCAAUUUUCAAAGGUAGAUAAGUUUUUGUGGAAUAAUUAUAAUGAGCUUAUCUUUAUAAGAAAAGUAGAACAAAGGUUUCUUACCGUGGAGUCUGUUCAAUGGACAGGCACGUCAAAGUAAUAGACUCAGAUUAGAUAAUGUUAAAAAUGUUAAUUGUACAAUUUAACAUUGUUGGGUUCCAUCAACUUUAGUUAUUUCUUUAGGUUAUACAUUCGUAGAAAUCUUUUUGUAUUAAAAUAACAUCAUUUAAUCACAGUUUGGAGGGGCUAAAAAAUAAGUAUAUCAACGGUAGACUCCUGUUCACUAAUAUAUGUACCUGAUCUAUAUUCUCAAGUGUCUAAUAUAUGUACCUGAUCUAUAUUCUCAAGUGUUUUUUAUAUAUAUAUCUAGUUUUUGUAAAUAUUUUUGUUUAUUUUGUUAUAUAUUUGAAAAUGUUAAGCGGAUUUCUUCACCUAUUUUUAGAUAAAAGAAUUUAUUGAAUCACACGCCAAGAUCUAGUCUUAAAACAAUUUAGUUAAAAAUUUCUGAAAUAAAUAAAUAAACGAACGAAAAUAAGAAGUUAAAAGAAAGUUAGGAAAUGAACAACCAAGUAAUAUAAACAUAUAGCGAUCAGGACAGAGAAUAUUUAUUCUAAUAUUACAAAACGGUGUCAUUAGGUUCGAAAGAUGUGUUUUUCAAUCUAAAACAAAAUGGUUAGAAAUUUCAAGUCUUCUUUCUGUGUUAAGGGCAAAUUAAAGAGAAAAAUAAUCUUUGAUCAUAUUAACAAAUAAUUGAAAGAAUAAUGUAUAGUACAUAUGCAUGAUCCAUUAUGUUGCAUGCAUUUCUUAAAUGAAUAAAUAGAAUUUUGAAAUGUAAAAAAAUGAUGAGAGAUCAGACAAAGAUAUAUCCAACUCUUCAAAAAAUGGUUUUGUUUUUGGAACUUCUGUUCUAUAGUUGGGAAAAAGAUCAGUCCGUGGAUGGAGAAUUAACAGGAGCAGCUUCAACACACGCACGAGGAUUUUGCUUUCCAGUAAUGAUGGGAAUCACAUUUCUACACUGAGACGUAAUCCGUCCUUGAGUUCCGAUGUAAGCGAGGUCAAUAUCUGUAACUUCCACACCUUCACACGAAAAGACUGUGCUACAAAUAAAUUUAACAGCAACGAAAGUAGCAGAAGUGCCUCUGAUAUUCUUGAAACUAACGUUGUUGAUCUUAAUUUUUGAUGGAAUCUGAACAAAUGUAUACAUAAAGAAAACCAAAAAUUAAAUCAGGUUAGUUUUGCAUUUGUUAUAUAUAAGAAAAAAUAUUCCUUAAUUGAAGUUAAUUAAUUAAUUAGUUGAAAUUUAUGAAUAAGGAAUAAUUUCAAUACAUAUACCUUUUUGUUGCAUUGAUUAGAUGGACAAUAUUCUUGGUCAAUAAUCACAGGAUUGCUAACAUUAACCAUUUCAAUAUCUUCAAAAUGCAAGUCAGAGGCUGUGUAUGCAACUGCACAAUCUGGCCAUGUCUUGAUUCUAACACCAUUUGAAGUAUUGAUAAGUUUACAUGAUUUCACUGUAACUCCUGCCACCUCUUUCUCCUUGGUGUACUUGCCUAAACUUCCUAUACUUAUGCCAUGACCUGGUCCGCAAGUUACAUUAGUAAUAGUUAUUUGCUUGUUGCUGUCUCCAACAGAUAUACAAUCAUCUCCGGUUGAGAUACGUGUAUUGAAAAUGUUAAUCACUUCUGAACUGCUCACAUGAAUUCCAUCGGUGUUGGGACUAUUCUCUGGUGCAAUAAUUGUCACAUUUUGAAAAGUAACAUUCUUGCAACCCAAAAGAUUGAAGUGAAAAUUCUUACUAUCCAACGAAGUUAUGUCCUUCACCAUUGAAUUGGUUACGAAACUGAACUUCACAUUCUUACAAAUUUAACCCCGGCCCGCCCCACAAAAAGAAAAGGUAUCCGAGUUAAAAACAAUGCAUUAUGUUAAUCGACAAAAUUAUAUAAUCAACGAGAUUAAAAAGAAAGAAGCUAAUACAAUUAGAGAAUUAAUUUACCAUAGGAAGUUUAGUGCAUAUUUUCUUCAGGUGACAAUCAUUCUUUUCCCAACCUUUUUCUCCUUGACCAUCAAAAGCACCUGUGCCUGACAAUGUCAAUUGAUCGAUAUAUUGAAAAAGAACCAACCCAUCUCCUAUUGGAUCUGGAUGAGCUUGUAAUGUUCCUUCCAUCCGAACCUCAAUAGUACUUUUGCAAGGACCAUGGAGAAUGGAUUGGUUUAGAUGGUAAACUCCCAUUGGAAUCAACAAUUUACUAGAAUAGGUCGAUGCACAUGCAUCCUUCCAUGCAUUUGCCAAAGCCUAUAAAUUGUGAAUCAUUUGAUUAAACAAAAAAAAAAAUACAUAAAGUACGAAAUUUAUCAAGUUAAUAUAUAUUUACCUGAGUAAUAUCAGUAUUAGGUUUGGCACCAUAUGUAGUGAUAUCAAAAAUGGAUUGACCUUUUGCAGUUGAUGCCAACAUUAACAACAAAUGUAAUAGUAAUGUCAUAAUGUUUGACCUCAAUCCCAUCAUUUUUAUUUAUUGCCUUCUGCUUUUUGCUUAUGAUCUUCUCUUUAUUCUAAUUGUUAAUUAACUAUGAAAAUGGAAUGAAUGAUUCAAAUAUAUGUGCAGUCAUUCAACCCUUCUUUAUACUUUCCAAAAAAAUUUGGUUGCUAAAUUUGAAAAUGAUCGUUGAAAUAUUGAAGUUAAACCAUUAGCUGUGUGUCAUAAAAUUAGCCAUUUCAUGACAAUUGGAAUUUAUUAAUCAUUCCCUCAAUUCAAUCAAAUUUCUGUUCGAGAACAACUCAAAAAAGGAAGAAUUGAGAAUUUUGGUGAAAAAAGUAUUAGAAAUUUUCACUUUAUUUUUCUCAUUCAUAACUCCUAAUAAGUAGAUAGGUCCACAUGUUUCAUGUUACGUAGAUAUAUUUAUUUCAAUGCUUAUUAAAUUUUGAUGGUGAAAUUCAAACUUUUAAUUAAAUUAAUCAUUCAGUUAUAUUUAUUUACUAUAAAUUGAGUGCGAGGAUUUGAACUAAGUUUUCUUAGUUCUCAAAUAUUUAUGAGUGUUAAUAUUCAUAAGUGUGGAUUGAGGUAAGCAUAUGCUAAAUGAAGUUUAAAAUAUUACUUUUCUGUACAUGUGGUAAUAAAAUAAUAAUAAAAUAUCACCAAAAGUAAAUAAAUAUCUAAUCGAGAUCGAUAUAUUAUUGAUACUUUUAUUGACAUACUCAUAAGAUUGAGAAAUACCAGCAUCUUCAUUUACAUUGACAUCUAUGUGACUAGUCAAUUUUAACAAGAACUUUUAAAAUAUAAACAAAAUUAUAUCAUAAAACUAAAUGAAAAAAUUUUGUUUUAAAUGACAAAAUGGUUAAAUAUAUAAUAUUUAUAAAUAUAGCAAAAUUUUACUUUUAAUUUAUGAUAAGUAGAUGUAAACGUAGAUGGUAGACAUCUCUCUAUUGCUGUAGUCUCUAUUGCAUUUCUAUUAAAGUUAUGGAAAUAAAACCGUAAUUACACUAAAUCAAAAUAUGAUGGUAGAUAUUAUAAAAAUCUGAUAAAAAGCAGAUCUUUGCAAUAACAUACUAAAACCCAAACAUGGGGAAAAGAAAAACUACAGAAGCCACUCCUUCCAUUCCCCAUGAAUUUAUUUCUCAAACUUCCACACUUCACACAUUUCAUCAAACACAAACUUUUUACUUUUUUUAUUAUUUCAUCCCAUAUUCCACACCUUGUCUUAUGGUUUUGCACCCUCUACUACUUCACCAGCGUACCUGCAGCACCUGUACACGCAUGGACCAUAUGUGCAACCUCUGCCGUAGCCACCACUAUAGCCACCAAGACCGAAGUCAUCACGACCAUAGCCACCACGAUGCUAACCACCACCACCGCUGUAGAUUUUGUCGUUCCGUCCUCCAUACUUAGCAUCCUCUACGCCAUUGGUUUCCACUGUGGCCUCUGCAAUGAAGGCGAGAAGAAGGCCGAGGAAAACAAAGGCUUUUGAACUCAUGUUUGUGUUUAAUAAGAGAUUGCUUUUGGGAGAUAUGGAUGAGAAAGAUUUGAAUUCUUAUGGUAUUUAUUGGUACAUAAAAGAGAAAGGGAGAUGAGAAUAUUGAGACAAUUGCAAUUAAAGACUGGCCCGUAAUUUAGUUGGGCAUUAGAUGAACUGAUUGAGAAGUAUUCUGAAAUGAAGAAGGAAAUUAAAAUUUGAGUCAGCUCUCUUAAAUAAUCUUUAUCGUUUAAAUGAUUUGUAAUUAGUCAAACUCUUUAGUAGUGUGACUGUAUCAAACUCCAAGAGCUUCUUUUAGCCAAUUAUCAAUAAUAAUAAUAAAUAUAAUUCUGGAAAAACAAUUUCUAGCAUGCUUUCAUUUUCUAUUCCUAAACUUGGUAAACAAAAUUCUUUGUCUUAAAAAUUAAAACUAAUAUUUUCAUAAAUUAUUUAGCAAAGUUGUUGGAAUAUGGACUGGUUUAUGAUUGUACCAAACAGCAAAAACAAGUUACAAACUACGAACCCAACUAUAUCGUUUAGAAACUGAGAGACCCACGUGGCGGAUGUUGCCUCACCCAAAAGCCACCGGAAAUUGCCUUCACUGGAGACCCACAUGUCGAACAACCAACUGCAAACCCCAAGAACAACCACGGCUGAAACAACCUCUCUGAUGGCUCGAACCCACUGCUAAACCAGCCGCCACACCGCGCGAAAUCCGCCGGUAGAACAUGGAAACUCGCCGACGUUAAAGCUCAGUCAGACGCCGUACUGCCCGAAAAACGAGACCGAAACGCGGAUGCUAAAGCUCUCUCCUCACCGGAAAACGCCCGACCCGACGAAGAACCUCAGAAUCUCCGUCGCGUGGCCGUCCGGUAAACGCCAUCAACGUCAACCCGUUCACCGUCGGCCCCUGCUCUUCUCUCUACUGUGUUUGUAGAAGAAACUUCAACUUUCCUCUCUCUCUAUUCUUGUGUAUUGCGGCAACCCCUCACCUCUCUCCUUUUCUUUUCACUGUAUUAAAAAUGGCAAGUGAUGUGAAUAAUUGCAAAAAUGUGUUCUUGUUAUUCCGCCAUCAACAAAACUAAAAAAACUUUGUUUAUUAAGAAAAUAAAUAAUCCACGUUGUUUAUUUCUUACAUUCUUUCAUAUUUCUUUAAUAAAAUAAGAGAACUUUUCUUUAUGUAUCACGGUGAAGAUAGAUAUUGUAUUAAGAAAAAUAUAUUUCUUAAUGAUCAUUUAUCAUGACCAUCAAGAAAUUAAAAAAUUGUGUUCCAAACCCUACAUCUCUCUUAAUGCAUCCUCUUUCACAAAUACUUCCGUUCCAAAAUAAUUACAGUCUGAGAAAAGUUUAGAGAGUAAAAACAAUUUCUCUCUCAAACAUUAAACCAAUAUAUAUAAAUGAUCCAUACAUAUAUAUAUGUGGAAAGUUCAAUAUGAAAUAUGUUAACAGUAUUGGUAAAAAUACUAUAUAUGGAUGGUCGUAAAAGAAAUACGUACUUUUUAAAAGUUGAACUUCCUCUUCAUCUCUGAUUGGAGAUAUUUGUUGAAAACUCCAAUAACACCUCAAAAUAAUAAUAGUAAUAAUUAUUACUAUUAUUAUUAUUACUAUUAUUGCGUAGGAUAGAACACCAUGAAAUGUUGAUAAAUUUAUUUAAUUGUGUCCUUGUCACUUGUCAGUACCACCAUAAACUUUAGAUAAUGCAGGCUGAGCAAACAUUUUUUUACUUUCUUUUCUCAUUUGUAUGCAAAAUAUAUUGCCACCAUAUAUCGUUUUGACUAAAGACGAAAGAAAGCGUGUAUACCUUAACUAUUAAAAUUUAUGUUCAAGUUAUGGAAAUAAAACCCUUAAUUACACAAAAUGAAAAUAUGUUUGUUGAUAUUAUAAAAUUUUACAAAAACCAAAUCUUUGCAAUAACAUACUAAAACCCAAACAUGGGGAAAAAGAAAAACUACAGAACCCACUCCUUCCAUUCCCCAUCUAUUUAUUUCUCAAACUUCUACCGUUCACACAUUUAACCAAACACACAAACUUUAAACCUUUUUAUUAUUUCAUCCCAUUCUACACCUUCUCUUAGGGUUUUGCACCCUCUACCACUUCACCAGCGUAGCUGCAGCACUUGUGCCCACAUCGACCAUAUCGGCAACCUCUGCCGUAGCCACCACGGCCACCACCAUAGCCUCCACGGCCACCGUAAUGACCACGACCAUACCCACCACGACCACCGCCAUAGCCUCUGUCGUACCCACCGCCAUAGCCUCUGUCGUACCCUCCACCAUAGCCUCUGUCGUACCCUCCACCAUAGCCUCUGUCGUACCCACCUCUUCCAUACUUGGCAUCCUCUACGCCAUUGGUUUCCACUGUGACCUCUGCAAUGUUAUAUUUAAAAUUAAUCCUUAACUUUACGAAAAUGUUAUAUAAAAUCAAAAUCUGUAUAUAAAGAUGUUAAAUAAUGAGUAUAUAUAUUUUACAUGAGUUUUUUCUUAAUAUUCGUGUCUGUUCGGAGUUAGUUUAUGUGUACCUAAACUAAGUUUACCGAACAAAUUUGGAUGUGAAAGGAACAAGCACAAAGAAUAUUAAAUCAUCAAUAGAAGACUACUAUGCAUUCAACUUCUUAGAUGACUUAAAAUUUAUUAUAACAUAAAACUCACCGUUGUCAGUCUUGGAGGAGGUCUCCGCAAGGUCCCUUGCAGCCACUUCAGAGGAGAGGAGAAGAACGAAGGCGAGAAGAAGGCCAAGGAAAACAAAGGCUUUGGAACUCAUAUUUGUGUGUAUUGUAAGAGAUUGGUUUUGGGGGAGAGGGAUGAGAAAGAUUUGCAUUCUUAUGGAGGUAUUUAUAGGUCCAUAAAAGGGAAAGUGAGAUGAGAAUUGAGACAAUGGCAAUGGCAAUUAAAGACUGGCCCAUAAUUUGGUUGGGUGUUAGAUGAACUGAUUGAGAAGUAUUUUGAAAUGAAGAAGAAAAUUUGAGUCAGCUCUCUUCAAAAAUCUUUAUCUUUUAAAUGAUUUGUAAUCAGUCAAACUCUUUAGUAGUGUGACUGUAUCAAACUCCAAGAGCUUCUUCUAUCCAAUUAUCAAUAAUAAUAAUAUAAUUAUGGAAAAACAAUUUGUAGCAUGCUUUCAUUUUCUAUUUCCUAAACUUGGUAAACAAAGUUAUUUGUCUUAAAAAUUAAAACUAAUAUUUUUCAUAAAUUACUUACCAAAAUCUAUCAAGUAAAUACUGUAGGUUAGUUAUUUAGGGUUCAUUUUUUUCACCUUGUGUUUUUUCUUAAAAAAAUUGAUGUUUAAUUAGAUUUUUUUUUCUAUUAAUGAUUGAUUUGUUUUGGUAUAUCAUUUUCGAUCCAAUAUAACAAAAUGAACAAAAUAUGUGACAUUUUUUAAAAUAAAAAAUAAAUUAAAAUAUUUACAAAGUAUAACAAAAUUUUAAAUUCUAUCAAUGAUAGAAACUGAUAUGCUACUAUCACUGUCUAUCCAUCUCACUAAUAGAAACAUGUUAAUGUCUAUCAAUGUCUAUUAUUGAUAAAAUAUGAAAAUCGUACUAUUUGUUGUAAAUAUUUUGUCAAAUUUACUAUUUUUUACCAUUCUCUCUUAAAAAAAUAUUUAUAAAUACAGUAAAUUUCAAAAUCUAUCAAAGAAAUUGGUAGAAAUAUUUAUAUAGUAUAUGUGAUAUAAAUAAACACUAAUAUGAUUGAAGUUUUUUGUGUCUACUAAUAUCUAUAUUUUUUAUAUUUCUAAAUUUGGCUAUAUUUAUAAAUAUUUUCAAGAAUUUUAGUUUAUACAUUUUCAAAUGGUUUAUCUUAUAUAAAAUUUGAAUAGACAAACAUAAAAUAAAGCACAGCACAAUAAAGAAAACGUUAUUGAAUAGCUUCCACUGAACCCAAUUUGCAAAUAUCAUUGAUAUUUGUAAUAUUCUUUUAAUGCUAUGUUUUCUUACAAGAUAACGAGAGGAUAUUUUUAUAUUUAUGUGAAACUCAUCAACUUAUAUGAAAAUGUCAAAACAACAUUUAUUUAUUUCAUACUCUUCAACUUGGUGUCUGUCAUUCUUUAAAUAGAAUUUUCAAAGCUCAUAAAAAUCUCUCGAAAUUUGAGAAGAUAUCAACGCCCUUACGGAUCAUUGGACAAGCAUAUCUCCUCUCUUCAAAAAUUAUUUUGAUAGCUCUAUUGCUCUAAGUAUUUAUGCUUUUGUUUAAUUGUACUGACUUUGGGUCUUUCUUGGACUUUCCUCUAACCCUUGCUUUUGUUUUCCCUUCUUUCCAUAUUAUCUAUUAUAUAUUAAUGAAGCAUGAAUGAUGAUGAUGCUACGAAGGUACUGUUCACAUAGUGGAGAUGAUGAGAUGUCUUAGUGCAUCUAUUGACCUAUCUCGUAUCUUUUUUAAAAAAAAAAAAACAUUUAUAUAUUUCGUAUACUAUAAUUUUGCAAUAAAUUUAAGAGACCUUUAUAAAACUAACUCCCAAACUAUGCGGGGUAGUGAUAGUUGUGAAACCUAUUUCUAAUUUGAGUAUAGAAAGUAAAAUUUGGUUAAGUAUUUUGAAAAUUUGUAUUUUGGAUAAGAGGAGACAUUUUGAAAUAAGACUUUGCGAUAAGAAGUAUGUGUUUGAAUCAAUCCACAGAAAUGAUUAAGUGAUAAAAUCUUUUAUGGUUAAGUAUAAGUUUUGUUAUUAAGAAGUUAAUUCACGAGGGAGUUUUGAGAAAAGAAUGAUUUGCAAUAGGACCUAUAAACACUUUCAAUAGAAAGAGUCUUCACGAGAAAAUGUUGAAGUUAUUCGUAGAAUGGAAAUAGGCGAGAAGUAAGGUCUGGCAAAGAAAACGUCUAUCUGAUUUGACAGGGGUUAAUGUGUAAGAUUAAAGGUUUAAGCAUGACUGAGUUAAAUAUUAAAUUUACAUGUGUAAAGUUUUAAUCAGGAACCAGCGAACUUAAAAGAGUUUAAGCAUGACUAAGUUAGUUUAAGAGCUAUGUAAAUAAAGGACCUAGUCAUUAAGUAAGCACAUAGAUUUUAUUAAAAAAAAAUUACUAAAAUGUUGUUGUUUUGCUUGACGAGAAAAAGAAAAAAAAAAACAAAGUGUUAAGUGCUACGAUGUGUUUCACAAGAAGGCUCCACAAAAGAAAAGGAAGAGAAGGAUUUUUGAUAAAGUGUGGGAAUGUUUUCUCUUAAAUGAAUUAAUUAUGUUAAAAAAUUUAUUAUAAUUUCUCUUUACUUAUUUAAAAGAAGAAUUCCAAUGAUAAGUGUUUCAAAUGAAAUUUAUAUCAAAAGUCUAUAUGUUUUCAAGUAUGAUUUAUAAUGUUAAAGUUGUUUUCUUGAGAUGAUGCUAACUUUUAUGUGCACAUAAAGAGUCAAGGUUACUAUGGGGUGUACAAGGCUACAUGGUGAUAAGAAGCUGGUUUAUGCUUUGAAAUGAGCGUAUAAAGCUUAGUUGGCCUGAGCAACAAGGACAAUCUGUAUGUUUUCGGAUGUUGUUGAUACAACAGUCUAAAUGUAGGGUAAUGAGACCAAACGUAGAAAACGAUUCGAGAUCCUUGAUGAAAAGUAUAAUUGACUAAUGGGUGUUAUUGUGAAAUGAAUCUUGAUGUGAUUCACAAGUUGAACUAAUUUUAUUGUAAAAAUGAUUAUAUACGUUUUGAUAUGUUUUGCCAAAUGAAGUGUUUAUUGAUAAACUGAUUUGUGUUGAAAUUUAUGAUUUGACGAAAAACAUUUUCAAAGAGCAUUGCAAAAAGGAUUUCAUUAAAACCUCACUAAAUCUUUUAAACUUGCAUUUUAAAUUUUAUCUUCCAAGAUUUAGCAUUUAGGCCAAUUAAAGAAGAAGGUUGAAGGGCUUGCGGCAAGUUGAGAAAGCCACGAGGCGUUAAAGAGCUUUGAUCGAUAAAUGUUAAUUAUUUGAUCAAAAUGUUGUAAUUGUUUGUUCAUACCAAACGCCUGUUAUUAAUAUAUUAAAGUGUGUGUUUCAGGUUAUGUUACUUAUUGUACUUGGCAUUUAAAGUUGAUUUUCGCUACGUUUUGAGUUUCACUUCAUAGUUUGAAAGGAGUUGAGAAUAAGCUAGGCAGUAAGACUAAUUGUAAAGUUUAAUUAAAGUUAAAUCUUGUAAAGUUUAAAGUUAAAUCAUGUAAAGUUUAAAGUUAAAUCACGUCCUAUCCGCACAACUUCCUGCAAUUUUGUUGUCGGAACAGAGUGUGACAAUAGCGAUGCACCUAAACUAAAUUUACUAUUUUGGUUGUUACAGUGGUCGAUAUGAAUAUAGAUCAAUGGAAAGAAGAAUAUCAACAUCCUCUCUAAAACUUAAAUAUAUUAAUCUAAAAUUUUCAUUUUUAUGUUAAAUUGAGAAGAAGAAGAAAAAAAAAAGAAACGAAAGCAAAAGUAUUAGGUAAUAAAAAUAUUUUGAAGAUGAAAAAAAUUUGAAGUACUCUUGAAAGCAUGAAUAAAUAAAAUUUGGUUCCACUUGUAUUGUUGAAUAUCCUCUUGUUCCUUUCCAACCAAAUGUUCCAGAUAACCCCAUCAACAGACUGUAAUUGUUGAUUUCAUAACACACAAACUUGAAAUCAACAAUUAAGUAAUAGAAGACCGUAAAGAUCGACACACAGAUAAAACAUGGUUCACUAACAGUGUAUUAGCAACUACAUCCACAAACAAAGGAAGAAAAAAUAUGGUUAGGAGAGAGUGUUUUCUAAUACAAAUGUAGCUGGAUAGAGUGCAUCCAAUGAAAUUCUCAUUGUUUUGGUUGCAGACCGAGCACGCCAACUUGGAUUAAGGCAGUGAUUUGGGAGGCUAUUUAGCAGAAUAAUCUCCACAGUGUUUCCCGGGUAGAAUUUAGCAUAAGAAAAAAUUUCACUUCUUAAUUAGAAUGGGAGAUUUUUACAAAUUAUUAAAGAUUGUCAGGACUAAGAUUUUCUAUCUUUGGAAGAUCAUUUCCUCUUUCCUCGUUAGGCUUAGGGAAAGAUGCUUUGACAUUAUCCCAUAUGCUAAUGUCCCUAUCCCGGAGGGGUCCUCUAGGCUUAAUAUCCCAACCAAUCUUUAAUCGAGCUAUUUGCGCCAAGGGAUGAAGCAAAAAGCUUGGGGAAGCCAAAGGAGAGAGGACCGUGUUGGUUCAAUUUUUUAUGCCAAAAAAGAAAGAGAAAGAAGAGAGCAAGAUGAUUAUACUAAAAAAGAAUUGCCACAGUUUCUAUUUUAAUUAUUAUCCCUGCAUAACUCUUUCACAUAUAUAUUUAUAUCCAUAGGUUGUACACAAGUGAAACUAUCCUCAAAUUUAUAUGCUAUUUAUAUAAUAUAUAUAUAUAAAACUAUAAUAGUAUACUAUAGUCAUGUAGUUCAAACUUCGUUUAUUACCUUUUUAUUUUAAAAAUAUUUUAUUAAUAGUAAAGUUCCUGUGAACAUAAAUUUCUCCAUCAUCUGCUCCUACUUGUAUAUAUCAUCUUUAAUUAAUUAUCAUUUAGUGUCCACAUGUACAGUUUAAUUCCCAAAUAGUGUUCAACAAAACGAAGUAUUAGAAAUUUUCACUUUAUUUUUCUCAUUCAUAACUCCUAAUAAGUAGAUAGGUCCACAUGUUUCAUGUUACAUCUAUUUAUUUUAAUGCGUAUUAAUUUUUGGUGGUGAAAUUCAAACUUUUAAUUAAAUUAAUUAUCUCAGUCAUGUUUAUUUACUAUAAAUAUCACUAUAAAGAUCAAUUGAGCUAAGCAUGCUUAAUAAAGUUUAAAAAAUUACUCUUCUAUACACGUGUGGCAAUAAAGAUAACAAAAUAUCACUAAAUGUAAAUAAAUGUUUGGCAAGUUUUAUUAUUUUUAUAACUUCUUUAGAAAUAUUCAAUCGAUAUGGAUAUGAUAUUGAUUUUUGUUUUAUAAAUUCGUGAAAUUGAGAAAUAUAAGCAUUUUCAUCAACAUUCGCAUCCUAGACAUUACUCCUAUAUGACUAAUGAAUUUGAACUAGCGAAACUAAUUCAUAAAACUAAAUGAACAAAUUUUAAAAAAUUUUAUUUAAAAUAACAAAUAUGAUAGAACGUAUAAUAUUUACAAAUGUAACGACAAAAUUUUACUUUCAGAUCGUGAAGGUUGUGGUAAACCUGAUAGACAUCAUAUAUUAUUUUAGGCGUUAUAUUGUAUUGAUAAUAAAAGUAAAAUUUUAUUCUAUUUAUAAAUAUUUAUAAUAAUUUUUUAUAUUCAAAACAAUUCAAAAAAUUAAGUUGGCCUAAAAUUUCUAUUUUCAAUAUUUAUGGCCAUAACAGUUAUUUAAGUGAUCGGACUCCAUGAGUUCGUAAAAUUUAAAUGAGUUAGGCAAACAAGUAUUAAUUUGUAAUUUAUUUCUUUUUCUUAAUUGCAUUUUCUUGUUUUUGACAUGUUUAUUUAUUUUUAAUCUAAGUUGAAUGAUAUGGUAUUAAAUUUGUCUUUCAUCCGUUAAUUUUUCUUCUUUUCUUAACAUACCUUCCAGUUAUUGUCGCUCCAAUCAUCCUCAUCUUUGUCUCCGUCCCUAGGCCCAGGCAUCUCCCUCAAUGCAUCCUCUAUCACAAAUAGGUUCCAAAAUAAUUACAGUCUAAGAAAAGUUCAUAGAGUAACAACAAUUUCUCUCUCAAACAUUAAACCAAUAUAUAUAUAUAUAUAUAUAUACUAGAAAGAACACGUGUUUUGUACGUGAAAAGUGUAAUUUUAAAUCUUAAAUUUAAUUUUAGUGUCACAAGUUAAAAACUAAUUAUAAACAAUAUCUUUAGUUUAUAUAUAUAUAUAUGCUAUUAUUAAAUUCAAAUCUACCAAUAAUAAGGUGACCAGAUUGGACAAUUAGAUCUUAACCAGAGAAUAUAAAGGACCUAUAUAACAAUAUAAGUUUAUGAAAUAUACAACUAUAUAACUACAAAAUAUUAUAUAAACAAGGAGAGAAAAUUAGUGAGCAACCAUAAUAUAACAUGUACUUUUUUUUCAUUGAAAAUAAAUUAAAAAAUAAGAAAAUAAAAAGAGAUCAAAUGAUGGAUAAAGAAGUCUCUCCAAUCCAAAAUAUAAUGCUAAAAGACGACCAAAAUUUAAUUAAUAGAUUAUAGAUACAUAAAUGAAAUAAAAUUAUAGUGCAUAGUAAGUAUUGUAGAAAUAUUGCUUAUUCGAGACAUAGUUGACAUCGUUGGAGGCCUCCUUGGAUUCUCUAUACAUUUGUUGAAAAACACAGAAAUUCUCCUUGUUUUACACCAAAUAAUUAUUCUCCUAUACGUGGAUUUAUUUGAUUGCUCACAAUUUCAUUAGAUUUUAUUUUAUAUAAAAAUACACAGAAAGAAAAUGAUUGGGAACGUGAACAUGAGUCACAAAGAAGAUGAGAGAGAAUGUGUGAGUGAUAGAAGGGAAGAAGAAAAUUUUAUAUAGCUUUAAAAUUGAGCUAAUGAAUAAUAAUAAUAAUAAUAAUAAUAAUAACAACAACGACAAUUAUUAUUACUAUUAUUGCAUAGAAUAGGAGAGACCAUGAAAUAUAGAUAAAUUUAUUUAGUUGUGGUUGCCAUUUUGAGUACCACCGUAAACUUUGGAUAUUGCAGGCAAGGUGGUUAAUAGAAUUAAGAUUUUAUUAUAUGUAGGUAAAUAUUUUCACCGAUUUUAAUAUUUAGAUGUUUUCUUUUAUUAUUAUUAUUAUUUAGUAUGAGUGAUCAUGUGAGUUUUUUUCUUUCUUUCUUUUUUCUAACGAAAUAUAUUGAAGAUUUUAACUAAAGAUGAAAGAAUGUGUGUAUACUAAAAAUAAGUGAGACGAUCAAUAAUAUCUGAAAGUAAUUAACUGAGAGAAUAGCUAAAGAAACAGACAAAACAAAUAAUACAGAAGACUUUGUUAGCCUAAUUUGACGAAUACCACCUAUAUCUGGAAGCUUCUUAGCUCAUAUAAGAAAUAUUAUUAUAUAAGAUUUAAAUGAGCAAGGAAAACACUUUUAAGUUAUUACAAAAACUUAAUUAAAGACCGACUUUCAUUGAAUUUGUGUUUGAAUCUUUUUGAAGAUAAACUCAAACUCCCUUGAAUUCAUUCACCACAGUUCAACUAUUUCAGUCUUCUUUCAUAUUUCUUAUCAACAGGUGCAGCGUAAAAACCACUUGCAGAACUUCAAUAAUAUUCCAUCUUCAUAUAAAGAAUGCAAUUCGACAACCUUCACAAACAAUAAUUUGAUCUUCGAAAGAGAACUUCUUUGAAAUCAAUUUUCUAUCAAUUUGCACGUCGAACUAAGCCAAUAUAGUUUAAUUAUUUAAAGAUCGAUAUAAUAUAUUUCCGGUAACUUCUUUAUGGAGAGAUAUAGAUAAAAGAUUCAUGUUAGGAAAGAAAAAUAUUUUAUCUUUAAAUAAUAUCCUAAUCUUUAAAUAAGGAAGUUAAUAAUAAAAAGAAAUUUAUUGGUGUUGUUGACAAAAAUAUCAACAUAUACGUUAACUAUUAAAAUUUAUGUUCAAGUUAUGGAAAUAAAAGCGUUAAUUACAGGAAAUGAAAAUAUGUUUGGUGAUAUUAUAAAAUUAAAAUUUGCAAAAGCAAAUGUUUGAAAUAACAUACUAAAACAAACCCAAACAUGGGGAAAAGAAAAACUACAGAACCCACUCCUUCCAUUCCCCAUCUAUUUAUUUCUCAAACUUCUACCGUUCACACAUUUAACCAAACACACAAACUUUAAACCUUUUUAUUAUUUCAUCCCAUUCUACACCUUCUCUUAGGGUUUUGCACCCUCUACCACUUCACCAGCGUAGCUGCAGCACUUGUGCCCACAUCGACCAUAUCGGCAACCUCUGCCGUAGCCACCACGGCCACCACCAUAGCCUCCACGGCCACCGUAAUGACCACGACCAUACCCACCACGACCACCGCCAUAGCCUCUGUCGUGCCCUCCGCCAUAGCCUCUGUCAUACCCUCCUCUUCCAUACUUGGCAUCCUCUACGCCAUUGGUUUCCACCGUGGCCUCUGCAAUGUUAUCUUUAAAAUUAAUCCAUAACUUUAUGAAAAUGUUAUAUAAAUUCAAAAUCUGUAUGUAAAAAAGUUUAAUAAUGAGUAUGUAUAUUUUAUACAUUUUACAUGAGUAUUUUUUUAAUAUUUGUGAACAUUCAAUUCAGGUUAGCUUAUUUGCCUCUAAACUAAGUAAACUGAACAACUUGGUUAGCUCUGUAAUCAUUAUCAGGAACAAGGACAAAGAAUAUUAAACUCUAAAUAGGUGACUACCAUGAAUUAAAACUUUUUGAAUAACUUAAAAAAUUUAUUAUAACAUAGAACUCACCGUUGUCCGUCUUGGAGGAGGUCUCCGCAAGGUCUCUUGCGGCCACCUCAGACGAUAGGAGAAGAACAAAGGCGAGAAGAAGGCCGAGAAAAACAAAGGCUUUGGAACUCAUAUUUGUGUGUAUAGUAAGAGAUUGAUUUUGGGAGAGAGGGAUGAGAAAGAUUUGCAUUCUUAUAGAGGUAUUUAUAGGCGUACAAAAGAGAAAGAGAGAUGAGAAUUGAGACAAUUGCAAUUAAAGACUGGCCCAUAAUUUGGUUGGGUGUUAGAUGAACUGAUUGAGAAGUAUUUUGAAAUGAAGAAGAAAAUUUGAGUCAGCUCUCUUCAAAAAUCUUUAUCUUUUAAAUGAUUUGUAAUCAGUCAAACUCUUUAGUAGUGUGACUGUAUCAAACUCCAAGAGCUUCUUCUAUCCAAUUAUCAAUAAUAAUAAUAUAAUUAUGGAAAAACAAUUUGUAGCAUGCUUUCAAUUUCUAUUCCCAAACUUGACAAACAAAAUUGUUUGUCUUAAAAGUUAAAAUUAAUCUUUUACAUAAAUUAUUUAGCAGAAUCUAUUAAGUAGAUACUGUAGGUUAGUUAUUUAGGAUUCAUUUUUUCCCUCAGGUAUUGUAAAAGAAAUUGAUGUUUAGAUUUUUUUUUAUUAAUGAUUGAUAUUUUGAUAAAAGGAUGUUAAUAUCAUUUUUAAAGCUUGCUUUUAAAUAUAAUAAAAUUAAAUUUCAAAAUUAAUUUAUCAAUUAAAUUUAUAGAAAUAUUUAUAUAAUAUAAUCAGUAUGGACCAAUAUUUAUACUAUUCAUACUUUAAAAUUUUAUAAUAUUUAUAAAUAUUAAAAAAAUUUCAAAUGAUUUUUCUUAUAUAAAAUUUAAAUAGACAAGAAAAAAAAAAACACAGCACAUGCACAUGCACUAAGAAAUGUCAUUGAAUAGCUUCCCCUGAACCCAAGUUGUAAAUAUCAUUCAUAUUUAUAAUAUUUAUCAACUUAUAUGAAAACGUCAAAACAACACUUAUUUAUUUUAUACUAUAUUUGCAAUAAAUUUAAGAGACCUUUAUAAAACCUAACUCGCAGAGCAUGCACGAUACUGGGUAGUGAUAGUGAUAGUGAUGCACCCAAACUAAAUUGACUGUUUUGGUUGUUACCGUGUUCGAUGUAAAUAUAGUUGAAUUGAAAGAAGACAUCAACGACCUCUCUAAAAAUUAAAUAUUAAUGUAAUUUUUUUCAUUUUUAUGUUCAAUUGAGAAGGAAAAAAAGAAACAGAAACAAAAGUAUUAGAUAAUACAGAAAUAAAAGUAUUAGAUAAUACAUAAAUAAAAGUAUUAGAUAAUACGUAAUAUUUUGAAGAUGAUAAACAAUUGAGGUGUUUUGGAAAGUAAAAACCCUCUUUUUAGAAAAAUAUAGGACUGGAUGAGUAGAUGCACUUUAAAGUAUAAACUGUGUGGCAUGAAUAAAUAAAAUUUAUAUGAUUCUCAGAUAGUAUUAGAAUUUUAUUGUUUUGAAGGAUAGCCGACAUAAAUUUCAUGAAAAUUCUGGCAAUAUCUCCAAAUCCUAUCAUCCACACACACAGUCUCUCUUCCUUUCAAUUCAAUGAAUGGAGGAUUAAAUUUUACAAAUGGAUGGAAAAGAUUUCUUCUCUCUUUAAAGGAAAUGACAAAUUGAAAAAAGCACCAAAUUGUAGUGAUGGAAUACUAUUGGCCGUAAAAAUUAAACACCUUACAUUCAACCACCAAACUUAGGUGACGGUAGAAAUGGUAACAUUUAUUUGAGUGGGAGGAUUCAAUUUUUUAUCAUUUCAACGUUCCACUUUUACGGCUAUUGUAAGUUAAUUAGAACACCGUCGUAUAAGUUUGAAGGCUCAAUUUUUAUAAUUGAAAGUUUGAUAAUGUAAUUGCAACUACCAUUCUAUUUUAAAUGUGGUUUUUGUAAUCUUUACAUAACUUGUAAUGUAUGUCAAUUGUAUACAUAAGAUAUUCAAAAUUCUUUACAAAAUACUCAACACACGCAAACUUAUGACCUCAUGUGUUAUGAAUCAACAAAUUAAGUAAAAGAAAAUUGUAAAGAUCGACACAUAAAUAAACAUGAUUAACACUAACAUUGUAUUAGCAGCAACAUCCACGAACAAAGGGAGAAUAAAUAUUGUUAGAGAGAAUAUGGCACCACUAGAUUAGAUAGAACAAUGUUUAUAGUACAAUAUGACAUUACUUGAUUUGAAAGUUUAUAUAUGCACUUCUCUAAACCCUAAAAUCAAAAUCAUGAAUGACUACGUAUGCACAAUUAUGAAAAACUAAAGAAUCUAUGGAGUUUUCGUGUAGUGCUACUUAACGAAUAUAAGGUAUUCGAACAUCAUGUGUAUCCUAGUUGAUCUCCAAACCAGCUACAUAAUAUUAAUUAUAUAUUCGAAUUUUUGAAUUUUUUAUAACAAAUAUACCUCAAUAAAUUGAUCACCACCUAUGAUUAAAGAUAGAAAAUCAUUUAAGAUAUGCACGUAAAGGUAGCUGAGUAAAGUGAUAAGAUUAUCACACAAGAGAACUAAUAGUUAGGAUAACAUAAUGCGAAAGGGUAUUGGCUCAUGAGCAGAUUGAAGAGUUGGGUUUUUCCAUGUCAUUUUCAUCUCUGAUUUGUGUCUGCAAAUGAGCAAUGAUAAGUGUGAAUCAGUUAAAUUGGUUAUUAAAUGCUGAGACUUUAUUGAGUUGAUCCAUUUUCAAACUUUCAAACUUGCAAAUUUAUUGUGCAAUUCAGAAAGUGGAUCCUUUCAAAUUUAUUGAGUGGGGUCUAAUUAUUCAUCUCUUAUUUACGUCAGAGCAAAGCCUUUCUUAGGGGAUGUGUAUAUCUAUUAUUUCAUUGCCAAGGAAUGGGGGUAACCACUUGUGGGAUCACUUUUCAAAAUUUUAUGAUUUUCUAGAAAAUAUAUUAUUUAAUUGCAUCUUAGUCUCUCUACAAACGUUUCUACAACUCAUCCACACUUUAAUGGCAGUUAAAGAAAAAUAUUGUUUUUUAAAAAGACUCAUUCUAUGUUAAACUGAGAUUAAAUAAUAGAGUGUGGUCGAUUGUUAAAAGAUUUGUGUGUAAUCUAAAAUGAUCGGAUUAGUACUUUUCCAUUAAAAGUUUAUAUAUCUAUCCUUUAAAGUGAUGGACUCUGCAUAAGGAUUGAUAUUUGAUUACAAAUUUUUUUACUUAUGUUUGGUUGGAAUCCUUUAUCUACGUUUUUUUAAAGUGUCUAAUAGAUAUUUUAAUUUUAAAAGAAUUUAACAACGUUUAUCUUUGUUUGAAAGUUUAUAAACUAUGAAUUACAUUUUUAUAUCAUUACAGUUGUGUUUAUUUGGGACAUUGAUAAAAAUGAAUAGAAACAAAAUUCAAAUGUUAAUUAGCACCAGAUAUAUAAUACAUUGAUUGACUUAUUAACUAGCAAAAAAAAAAAUUAAAAGUUUAAACACAUAUUACUUAAUAUUUUAAAGCUUACAAGAGUUGUUAUACACAAUUCUAAACAUUUUGUGUGUUUUUAGUUUUUUUUAAAGGUAAGCUUAUAAACAUCUUAUUUCAUCUCUAAAUUUUAAUUAAUUUUGUUAUUAAACUUUAAUUUCUACCUAUAAAUAGAUAGAUAGUUAGAGCAUGAUUAAGUAAAGUUGAAGUUGAUCUCCUUCUUCCCUAAAAAACUUCUUAUCCCUACGUUGAAGACAAAUUAACUUAAGAAGCAUAGUAUUCGUAGCAAACAUCACACGUAUGUAUCUAGUAUUUAUUAUUCUACAACCCGAGCACAAUCUCACUAAACUUUAAUUUAGAGCUUUGUUAGAAUAAUGACUAUAAACUUUGGUUUUUAUUCUAGCCUUUUGAAUAUCAUGGCCAUGCAACCUUGCUUAUUAUUGAAUAUACGAGUGAGGAUUUGAUAGUGCUCAAGGAGUGUCCACAAAUUAAAGUGGAGACUCCUAGAUGCAGUAUAACACAAUUAUUUUUUUUUAAAAAAAAAGAAAUUACUUUGUAGGUGACUUCUAUGUCAAUAUAGAAUUUAUCAUUGACAUCACGUAAAGAUUAGAUCUAAAUAAUUAAGUUGUUAGACUAAAUUUUCACCAUAAAUAGUACCAAAACAAUGAAGCUAUAAACAGAUGAGUGAUUUGAAAAGAAAUUUAUUUAAUUAAUUGAAGCAAAAAUGAAUUGGUUAGAGUAUUAAUUAGUUAAUAAGUUCUAAUAAAUAGAUAGGCAAAAGUAAGUUAGCAUAGUCAAAUCUGGUUGGCGGGGUAGGAAAAAGGUGUCAAUGUUCUUCCCAUUUGUACAAAGCCACCAAGGAUCAUCUGUCUCCAGUCAAUAUGAAUGCAUUUAAUACAAUACUCGAAUGAGAAAAUAUGUGCAUUUAUAGAUUAUUUUUUUAGUUCAUUUCUAAAACUUUCCAACUUUUUUUUUUAUUUUGGUUUCUAAACAUUUUAAAACGUUUGUUUUAAUGUCUAAAUGUUUAAAAAUAACAUAUAUUGUAAUUAGAAUUUUAUUAACUCUUUAACGAAAUGAAAAGAUAAUUUCUACGUAUGAAUGAUUAUAUUGUCAAAUAAGAUAAUUAUAGUAAAAAGUGAGUGAACUACGAAAGAAAUGAGAGAGAUUUGAGUUUAUAAAAGAAAAACAAAGAGAACAAAAUUAGUACUUAGGUUUAUUUGAUAAAUGUGUUAGUUAUGUUUCUAUGUUGACAUAAAAGAUCUAUAAAAUAAAUUAGUAAGAUUUUUCAAUUAUUUAUCUAUUUAAGUAAUAUAAUAAAUCUAGAUUAUGAUCAUCUAGAAGUUACAUCAACAUUCUUUUAAAGAAUUAAUAGAAUUCUAAAUUAAAACAAGAAUUGUGGUAAGCUUUUUAUUAAAGUUUGAAAAACUAUAACAGAACACAUUUUAAAAGUUUAUCACAAAAAUAAAACAAGAUACUUUAUUAUUAUUUUGAUUCAUAUAUAUAGAGUAGAACAUUAUACACAUAUAUACACAAAUGAACAACAAAAAAAAAUUAGAAUGAAAAUUAGAUUGUGGAUGUUGAUUUUUUGAACGCAGUGAUAUUCUAAAUCGCUCCACUUAGCUUAUGUAUGUUUGGUACUUAUUUUUCUAUUAAUAUAAAUGUUGUUUUUGAAAAAGAAACGUUACAGAAAACAAAAUAGGAUGUAAUUACAGAAAUAAAAGUUAAGGUAUAGAUAGAUAAUUUGUUUAAUAAAGGGAAAAGUUAGAGAAGAUAAAUCUUACAGAGUUGGGGGAAAAGUUGAUAAUAUAUAGAGAGAGAAAACUUGAGAAUGGAGAAUCAAUGUUAGAGAGAGAGAAAAAAAAAAGGUUUGAGAGAUAUUUUAAAGAGAGAAUAUUCAGCUAGAUAAAAAUAUCAAAAUAUUAAUUAAAGAGAUAAAAACAAAAUAAUCAUACACAAAUUUGAUAAAUAACAUCACAUAUAAUAAAAAACUGAGAGAUUAUGGCUCGAUUCGAUAACGUUUUUUGUUUCAUGUUUUUUUGUUUUCGAAUGUGUUUAAUAACUUUUAUUGUUUCUUAGAAAAAGAAAAAGAUUUUUUUAAUAAUUAUUUAUUGUUUUUCGUUUCUUUUGUUAUUUUCUCAAACAUUUUUUCUUAUUUUUAUAGUUUAAAUUAAUUACAUAAAAUAUAAAAUAUAUAGAAUUCAUUAAAAUAUAAAAAUUAGUUAUAAAAUAUUGACAUGAUCAAAUAUUUACGUAAGCCGAUGCAAAUUUAAUAGCUAUAGUAUAAUAGUUUUUAUUAAUUAUAUGUUGUUAAAUUUUAAUUUAAAAUAUUAUCUCUCAUUUAAUUCAUUUGUCCUAAAUGAUGUUGAUGUAAUAUGAAAGGUAGUGAUUUGUCCUAAAACUUUUAGAACUUAAAGAAAAUAGAGUAAAACAAAAUUGGGAGAAACUACUCUUCAUGAUUUUUUAAUUUUGUCUAAUUUUUAGAAACGCCUUCAUAAUUUAAAAACGAAAAACAAAAAGAGUUAUCAAUCAUAUUUAUUUUUUAAAAUAUGAGGCAAAAAUAAAAAAAUGCCCUUAUAUUCACUUCCAAAAGAAAAUUAGUAUUGCUUACAGAGAAAGAAGUAUUCUUAGUCAAUAUAUUCUUUUAUGAAAAAAAAUAUUUUUUCCUUUUAUAAAUUUAUUUUCACCUUAAGUACCUUAAACCUGAUUUGUCAUGUCUUUAAAUCUUCCUUUUAUCUCUAAAAAAAUCUCACUCUAAUAUAUUUUUUUUCUCUACAAAAUUAAGCCACUAUCCUAAAAACUUAUUAUAUAUUUUUUUAUAUCAUUGAUGAAGCGAAAAUGAUAAAAGUGGUAUUCGGAUACACCUAUUGACUCACCGUAUCUUAUUAAAAAAGAAAUAUGUAUACUUUUUUAAAUAGACUACUUUUGAAUAUAACAAGAUAAAAUAAAAUGUUUACCAAUAUAGUAAAAUAUAUUGUGACAUUUUAUUAUAUUUGUAAAUAUUUUUAAAAAAUUUCGUUCUAAAUAAUUUUCCUUUAAAAAAUAUUUUAUUGAAAUUAAAAAUUGAUUAGUGGACUUGGCACAUAUUAUCAAAAAUUUAAAAAUUUAAAACUAAAAAAUAAAUUAAACAAGUCUAUGGUUGAAAAAUCAUGUUUUAAUAAUUGAAAAGGCAGACAAAUGACAGAUACUAUUCUAGUAGCAAAUGAUGUGAUAGACUAUUGAAGAAACAAAAAAAACAAAGGUCUGGUGAUCAAGCUCGAUAUUGAAAAAGUUUUCGACAAAAUUAGUUGGAGGUUGAUUGAUUCUAUGUUUAUAAAAAAAAAUUAUCCAUUCGAACAGAGCAAAUGGAUUAAUUAGGCUUGCAUCUCUUGUGUCCAAUACUCUAUUAGGAAGAACUCCGAGGUAUGAUUAAUCCCAGUAGGGACUCAGACGAGGUGACCAUAUACCCCCUUCAUAUUUGUUUAGGCUUUUAUUAACCUACUUGGAGCAAAAAGAUGAAAUCAGAGGGGUCAAGGUCGAGAAUGAUUUCAAUUUAACUCACUUGUUAUUUGCCAAGGACAUCUUACUCUUUGUGGAAGAUAAUGAUGAUCUCCAUGGGCAAAAAUUUACGGCAUCAAAAGAAAAAGGUGUGGCCUAAGUAUAAAUAAAAGUCUUGGACACACAAACUUUGCAUUGCUCAGUAGAUGGCUUUGACGCUUCAUAUACGAACAACGAACUCUAUGAAAAAGGUAAGUUCAGCAGCUUAAAAGCCCCGUGGAGAUCUACACCAAAGAGGAUUGAUUGGUUCCUUGAAAACGUACAUUGGCAACUCAACAAUGUAGGAAAAAUCUCUUUCUGGAAUGGGCCUUGGAAUGAAAAAUUCCUUCUAUUCUUUACAGGCCUAGACAUUUUGUCCUCUCAAAUCUUCAAUCGGGUAGUGUGAAAAAGAGAUAUGUCCAACCUCAAUAUUUUCGACUAGAAUUUACACCUAAGAUCAUUGAGAAGCUUUGAACUCCAACAAUGAGCUAAUAUGAAAUCUUUCCUUCCUGCUCCUAACAUCGUUGGUGGUACUGAUACACCAACAUGGAAGCUGAAUUCUAAUGGUCAGUUCUCUAUUGCCUCCUUAAAAAAAGCUAUACAUAUUGUGGACCAAAGAGAUGAAUCCAACAUCAAUCCUAAUAUCUUCAAAAACCUUUGGAAGUCAAGUAUCCAAAAGAAAUGUCAAUUCUUCAUUUGGACUCUUUUGCACAAAUGUAUCAACACUGGAAAGCUCCAAAGAAGAUUCGCAAAUUGUAACCUUAAUCCAAAUUGGUGCAUUCUCUGUAAGAACCACUUAGAGGAUAUAGAACAUACAUCUUCAUCAAUUGUGCUGUCACUAAAGAUAUAUAUGGGGGCAAGCUGAUUGAACAAACGAUCAAUUGGAGUAACCACAAUACAAACCUGAUUUCUUUAUGUGAGGAUUUCUUUAUGUAACUCAAAUUGAAAAGUUAGAGAUUUAUUAAACACAUUCUAAAGUGUUGUUGGUUUUAUUUCUUAGGUAUGAUUGGCUAAUUUUAUUAUUGGAAAAACUUGAUUGAACAGCUUGUUCCAUGUUAGUUUGUUGAUUUUAUCUUGAGAUUGGUUUGUUUAGAUGUUGGUAUAUGUAGUGCACAUUUGUUGGGUGACUUCCUACCAUCGUCAUGUCUUGCAAAAUGUUGGAAUAUUGGAAAUCACAUUGUAAGGUAAAAGGCAACAAAGGUUGCAAAAAAAAAUUAUUCUUAUCCGUCGGUGAGAUUCUACAAUAUUUGUGGCCUACUAUGAUUGAUAUAUUCGUUCUUUGAAGAUCUGGGUCUUGUUCAUCUUUUGGGUUGACCACUUUGAACAAUAUUUGAGUCGUUUUGUCUUCUGUGUUUUUGAAAAUCAUAAGUCGUGUCAAUCCUUAAAAUUGCGGAAGUUUGUUCUUGAAGCACAAUUAGUAACUUGAGAAAAAAUUCUCGAAUUUAGGAGAGCCUAAAAUUCAUCAAAUGGUUGGAGUACUCUUCAUUUAAAUGUGGAAAGAUGGAAAGUUAGCAAUUUACACUGGUAAUCAUCAAGUCUUUACAAAUAAGUAAAACAUUAUAUCAGUAAAAAUAGUAUAUAUAACAUUAUAUUAGUAAAAAUACCACUCUGCAUAUGUGCUAGUAUUGCUACCAAAACUCUAUGUUAUGUUCUGGUAUUGUAUGCAACAGUUUUGUUAGGUUGUGUGUACUAAAUCACCUUUAUUUCAUUAUAUUAUAAAGGGUAUAAGUACAAACUUGUUGAUGGGUUAACUAAAAAUUUGAGCUUUAAAAAAUCACAAAGAAUAGGAUGGUAAUUAACAAGACACUAAAUUUACCAAAUAAAUUAGUUAUCCUAAACUAGCAAGCUUGAAAUUAAUAGGAAAUUAGGAACAAGUAUAUGCCAGAAGAACAACCAUGAUCAUAUAUAAUAUCGUAGAUCAAAGCUAUGAAAAAAAAAACAGUACUAUAUAACACACCAAAUUCAAACGAUGAGAUACCCAAAUCCAACAAAAUAGAUUCCAACCUAAGCAAAUCAACCUCAUAAGAAACCUAACAAGUAAUUCAAAAUCUUUUUUUAAAGUUCAAAAUUACCACCUGAUUUUAAUUUGAAAGAAAUCAAAAUUGUCUAAGUUAAUAUAAAUUGAUUCAGAUGAAGACACAAACCAAGUUCGCUUUUAUGUGGCCUCAUGCAUAAUUCUAUGACAAAAAAGCAGACCCUUUUUCCUCAUAUUUGGUGAUAUAUUUCUCACAUACGUCCUUUCGGUGACUUUAUCGACACCCAAUGGCCAGCAGCAGGAAAGUGAGUCAAACAUGUAAAAGAGCCAGAGUGCAACAUUUUGUGCAUAAUUGCACACAUAAAUAUUGAUCACAGCAACAAAUGGAAAAACUUUGUGCACUAAACGCUAGAAUUUUCUUUCAAUCCUCGAAGCAUGAGCCCUCAAUCAAAUAGAGAGAAAAAAAAAAAAACUCCAUAUCCAAAUCCAAUAGGAACUACUAAUAUCUUCCUAUCUCCACACUCAUGAUCAAGCCCUUUUCAAUUCCAACCAGAAAAAACAAAGAAUUAAAAAAAAAAAAAAGGUUGAAUUCUUGAUUCAAGAAAAGGCUUUGGUGGCUUCUCUUUGAACAGCUUUCAUCAAGAACCCAUCUUUUUCCAAAGCCAUUUGAAUAGGCAAGAAUCCCAUUCCCUCAGCAAUAGCCAACAUCAUAUUCUUCAUCCCCAUCAUGAACUCAUCCACGUCAACUUUUCCAUCCGAAUCCCGAUCGAACUGCUUGAAGACGGCACUGUAGAGUUGAGAGAGCUCAUCGGCAUCAGGUUUCACAUCGGUUCCAAAGUCAGCUUCGGAGACUCUCAAAGCAUGCAACUCCUUCAGCAUCUCGGCGUAGGAGAGGAAGCCGUCGCGGUCAGUGUCAAGACGGGUGAAGUGCUCUCUAGUCCAACCAUUGAAAGCUUCUUCGUCUUCCACAAAGUUGACUAUGGUGGCGCCGUCAAGUAAUUCUACGCUCAUCUUCGAUUGUUGGUGAGAGAAGAGAUUGAGAUGAGAUUUCCUUGGUGGGUUUGGUAUAUAAAGGCCUCUCUCUAUAACUUAAUUGGCGGUGGUUUCCAAAACAAGGAUUUUCGUUGGUUCAUUAUUGAAUUAGGGUUUUCAAUUAUUUUCCUUUUUUAAUUGGGAAUUAGGAGUAAAUAGCCAUUUUCAAGGUUAAACUUGCAAAUAUGGAAAAAAGAAAAAACGUUUUUUGUUUCUUAGCAAAUUGAAUCUCCAUACAUGCAUGUGUCCAUCUUUCCUUUAUUCACAGAUUGCACUUAAUGAGUUAAAAAUUGCCCUUCAUCAUCAUGAUAAAUAGUAAGUAUAUCCUAGAUUUAAAUUCCUGAUUUUUCUUCGUAAUUAGAUUUAAAUUUCUAAUUUAAGUAGUAUAUCUGUCCUAGGGUAUCUUCUGUUGUUGGUUUGGGUUUUUAUACAUAAUUUGAAUGUGUGUGUGUAUAUAUAUACUCAUCUGUUAUAUAUAUAUUUUUAAGCUUGUUUUACAAAUUUGAUCUUCCAUAUAAUCUCUUUGUUGGUUAAAACAGAAACAUGUAUUAUAAUGGGGGAAAAGAUGGUACAAUAUCGUCGUGAUGGUUCCAAUUCAUGCUACUUGGUUCUUACCUCAAUUUUGCUUACGAGUUCUGGAUUCAACUUUGGGAAUGACUAUGAUGUAAAAGCUCUACGAAAUCGUUAGUUUUAUUAUAAUAAUUUGAUUACUUGUUUUUCUUCUUCUUCUUUUGGUAAUUGUUAAAUUCAGGGAGAAAGGUAAAUGGAAUCAAAUUUGUACUUUUUUUCCUUCUGCAUUGUUUACCUACGAUGUAUUUGUAUUUUAAUUUGGUCCUUUGUUAGAUUCAUGAAGAUGGUCAAGCAAAUCAAAUUUGUUCGGUAUUUAAUUAAAUUUAUUAGGUAUGAUGUAUUUUGUUGUGUUCUAUUUGAUUUAGUAAAUUUAUUUAGGUACAAUUUAUCUUCGGGUGAUGUGUUUGAUUUGAUUAAUUUUUUUUAUUAAAGGUAAAUUAAAUCUUUUUUUAUAUAAUUAUAGAAAAAAAAUGGCUUUUUAAAAAAAAAAUAUAUAAACUGGUGCACCAUAUAAAACAAUGUAUAAACCUAAAAUUAAUUACCUCAGUCAUUCCGCUGCACAUGCGAUACAUGAUAUUGGGCAUAUCGUGCCUCGAGAUGUACGAGAUGCUCCGAACCAUGUCUCGGACUAAAUAAUUCUACCUUUAGUUAUUGAAAUUGGAUAAUUAGAUCUCUGGUCUUAGCGUCACCAAGAUGGUUAGGAGUUAAAGAAAUUUGUUAGGCAUAAAAUUUAUCUUUAUUUUAUUCUAUCUCGAACAUACACCGCCUGAGAUUCCUAAAAAGAAAAACUUUUGACUUUAAUUAUAAAGAUUUAAAUUGCAAUAACAUAUAUGAAAUAUAUGAAACUUUUUAUUUUGUUAUACCAUCUAAAAACAGCUACAAACUCAGUCUUUCAAUCUAAGUCCAAAUUGGUGUUCUUUAUGUAAAAGACACUUUUCAUAGAUUGUUGUACUGCUAAAAUUCGAUGGAACAAGCUUGAAGGACUUCUUGGAUGGAAAAACCAACAACAAAAUGUUGUUUCCUUAUGCUCUUUCCUUUGCUCAAUAAAACUAUCAUCAUUUUUAAUACUAUUGCAUCAGUGUUGUGAAUCUUAUGGUUGGAGAGAAAUAAUCGCAUCAUCAAUUUAUCUUCUGGUGAGCUUAUGCUCUUUCCUUUUCUCAAUAAAAAAUCUACUUUUGAUCUUUGGGAAGACAUCAUUUCUCUUUCUCAUGGCUGUGGGCUAGCAAAUACCCUAUGUUUGCAAAUUAUAGUGCUUCCUCUAUCGCUAUCAAUUUAAAUGCUUUCUAACUUUUUGUUGUGGGCUUAGCUCUAGCUCUUUAGCUUUCGCGCUGUGUUUGGCUUUUGUCCCAUACUGUAAUUGUACUAAUUCUUCAUAUAUUAAUGAAAGCGGGGAUGAUGAGGGUGCAAAGUGGUGUCUCUUCUUCCUAUAUUAGUGAAAGCGGGGAUGUCCACCUAGUAGAGAUGUACUGACCCAAUGUAUCUUUUUCAAAAAAAAAAAAAAAAGCUACAAACAAACAAAAAUGUAACUCAAAAGGAAAAUCGUUAAAAACAAUAUAGGUCAAUCAACUCCCAAUUUUAUAUCGUUUUUCAAAAAAGAAUAAGAAAAGAAGAUUACAAUUUUAUAUCUAAUUAACACCUCCUCAUAAUCCACUCUGCCAAUGGUAAAAACUUAACAAGUAAAUGCUUUGCUUUGCAAAGAAAACACUUCUUCAAAACAUAUGUACCUCUCAGACAUGAAACAAAACUCAUGGACUGUAAUUCUAUUCACCACAACCUCACCAACUGAUUCCACAUAAAGCAAAAGAUUACUUUCUUUUUAGUAUAACCAUAUUAAUAUUUUAUCCUAAAUUUUCAAGACUAAUUUUCAUAUAUUUAAACCUGGUCAUAAUCAGUUCUUCCUUUACUUGGUUAAUAUAAAAAUCAUUCCAUACAAACUAUAUCUUAAACUAGUUGGUCAAAAUGCUAAAGAAAAAAAAACUACUAUUAAAAAAUAGAUGUCAAUACAAAAUUUAGAAAUAUAUAUCUAUAUCAAUAGUGGUAAUAAUAGUUACCAUGAUCUUAAACUUUUGAAAAAUUGCAUCACAUCACACAAAAAUUUUAAAAAAAUAAAAUAAGUAGCCUAUAACACCUCUUUUGCAUAUUACAAAUAUAACAAGUAAGUAGAUAUAUCAAAGAACUAGGACAAAACUAUUUGAUAACUAUCCGUUUUAAAAUUUACAAUCAUCUCGUUUCAUUCUUUUUAUUUAAUGCAUCUAGAAAACCCAUAUUAAAAUAAUCUACAUCCAGGCCAUCUAAUUCCAUAAACCUAUUUUAACUCACCGUUUAUAAUAAUCACACUAUAUAUUGUAACAAAUUUUGCAACCCAAAUAGCGCUAAUUAAAGUGUGGGAGACCAUGAGGUUUGAUCUUUGAAAAUGUUAAAUAAUGUGUAAUUAUAAUAAUCACCUCCACCUCCUGAAUGAAUAUUAUUUAAAAUUCCUCCAUUACUACCAUAAACACUAUUUCAAAAGUCUUUCUAUAGUCUUUACUAUUUUAUAUUAAUAAUUUUAUUAUUAUUUUCUACCAUCUUUAUUAUUUACUUACAAAACUAAAAUAGUUUAUGAACCAAACACACAUAUCAUUAUAACUCAAACUAAUUUGGUUUCAAAUUAUUCUAAUUCAACUAUGAUAACCUAAUAUUAUAAUAACUCACUUGGAGUUCCAACAUCCUUAGGUGUAAAAAUACAAAUUAUCUAUAAUUUUCUUUUUUUGGAAAAAAUAUCUAUAUGUAUAUAGAUUUAGAUUCUAAUUAAUAUACAACUUUUGUAAGAUGAAAAUAAGAAAUCCAAUAAAAAUAGGAUUACAUCUCAUGUUUUUCAUAUGUGUUUAAUUAAGAUUAAGUAUAAACAUUAUUAUUAAAUAAUUUAUAGAUAUAUUUUAUCAUAAAAGGAUUUGGAAGGGUAUAAUUUUUAAUUUGAUAAUUUAUUAUUUUACCAUGUAUGAUCAUGUGAGCCCAUAUGGAAAUGAAUAUAUUAAAUCAUUUUUUUAUAAAGAUAAAAAUUUACUUUCAACUUUUGUUUAAAUAAAGUUAUCGUUUCUUUUUAGAAAAGAUACUAAUGUUUAAUAAAAUUCUAGUUUGAUAAAUAUAAAAAUUAAAGAAAAAGAAGAAGAUAAGAUUAAUCGAAAAAUAUAGAAAGUAAAAAUAAAGAGAAAAAAUAGAUUUUUUUUUUAUAAAUGUAACAUUAAAAAAAGAAAGAUGCGUGGUUAGUUGCUCGAUAAUUAAAUAAUGUAAUUUUCGAUAUUGUUUGUUACUGGAAUUGAAUGUAUUAUAUUGUUUACAUCAACCUUUCCCCAAAAAAAAAACCAUAAGAUUCUGCAUAACAUUUAUAUCCUGUCAAAUCAAUUUGCAUUAUUAGUUUUGAAAAGUCUACAUAGAUAAUUUUGUAUCUUUGUCUUUUCGUUUUCUUGAAUAUCCAAACUAUUAUGUGUAGUAAAAUGGUAUGAUAAAUUAAUUUUUUAUAAAAAAAAUCUAAAUCAAAAUUAAGAAAUUUGCUUUAUAUUUAUUCGUUUUGAAAAAGGUGGUGCAUCCGGAUAUCUCCACUAAGUAGACAUUUAAUAGCACCCUCAUCACUCCCACUUCGUUAAAGAUAUCUCAAGGGAGCAAGAGAGGGCUAGAGUUAAGCCCUUGAAUGUCGUCCCCCAUUUCACCAAAGCUUUUUUCAGACCCUUUGAGCAUUCUAUUGUUUCUUUCCAGACAAAGUCAAUAAAGUUGCAGCAAUGGUAUUGAAGGUGGAAAUUUGCUUUGUUUACCAAUCUUACAAAAUCAUGAUGCAUAUUUAUGAAUAUAUAUUUUUUCCUUGUAAAAGAUAUAGAAUUGAUAAAUGAAACAUUUGUGGUAAUAAAAAAAGAGCAAUACCCGAGGACGAACUCAUGUACACAAGAAUCUAUCAUGCAUAAUUACCCUUCAACCAGUACAUAUAACAAAAAAUAUAUUAAAAACAUCUUUAAAAAUAAGCAGAAAAUAAAAUUUAUAAUUGAAUACUGGAAAGAGUAACACAAGAAUACAUAUAGCUUAAAAUGCAUCCAAAUGAUUUUUUGAAAUAACGACCCACAACGCCACAAACAGACAUGCUAAAUUAAAUUAUGAAGACCAUUGACUUCAAUUUUCCACAUAAGUUCCUUUCCUUGGGGUCUACUUGAUUAAGAAAUAACCUUGUAUUAAACCCAACCAAUAAAAUAGUAUUAAAAACAUAUUUAUUAAAAUGUUAAAAUACCAUUUUAGUCCAUUCAAUUAAAGUUUUUGGCUCCAAUUUUUUUUAGUCAUGCAUGCUACCUUUAAUCAUUCAACUGAUUAUAUACUAAAUAGUCUAUGUAGGGUGCAAUCAAAAAUCAAAAAACAAAAAAUCAAACCAAAAACGUAUCGGAUCCGACCGAAUUUUUAUUAAAAAAGAUCAAUCAAAAUUGAACUAAAUCAAUUAGUUUAUAUAAAAUCGAUUGGUUUGGUUUUAAUUCUUAAUCGACCAUGCAUGCACUUGCACACACAAUAUAAUAUGUGAUAAUUAGUUUAUAUAACCCAACAAUACAAUUUGUAAUGGACGAAGAUACACAUAAAUUAAGAUAAACUGAUCAUAGACAUAGUUAUAUAUAAACUGGGUUUAAAAAUUGAAAUAGAUAGUACUCUAUCGUGAUUCAUCGUAAAUAAAAUGUGAUGAUUUAUAAUUAUACAUAAUAUGUACAUAAUAUGUGUAUCUUUUAUUUCUUUAUUUAUUCACAAAAAUACAAAGAUUGUUUAUGGUAACAUGUUUCGAUUUGUUUGAGAAUUAACUUUAAAAAAUGGAACUAUAUUACAUUUGUUAUUUUUAGCUUUUUAUUAAAAAUACAAAAAUGAAAAACAAGAAAUAAACAAAGUAGUAGUCCAAAUGUUUGGUAAUAUAUAUAUAUGGAAAGUCCAAAUUGAUUCUGAGUACAUAGAGAUAAUCAUACAAUAAAACAUACUAAACUUCAAAGUGACAUAUCAUAUAAACUACUAUAUAUAUUGAUUACACUCUUUUUUUGAAAGGAUAAAUUAAUACACAAAAACUUUAAAAUAGGAUUUAAAUCCAUGUGAUUUCGGAAUCAUUUAUUCAUUUUUUGAAAAACAGGUGAUAGUCCUCAGUCUACGGCAAGCUGCAUCCUCUAACAUAAGGAUUGCACUUUUCCUUUGGUGGCUUACUUCUAGGGAUGCAACGGCUAUAAGGACCGCUACCAUCGCAGAUUGGUUUGUUGCGAAUUGCUGUUCUCGGAGUCAAGUAAACAAUUCCCUUUUCUGCGUUUGGAAACCAUUUAAAAUAAAUCAACAAAAAUAGUUUAUUUUUAAAAACAACCAUUUUCAAUUUAAUGCUUCCUUCCAUGUUCAAUUUUAUCAAAAUUUGUUUCAUAAUAACAAUCAUUUUGAAUGCCACAUAAUAUCAUAAUAUAAAUAGAAGCUCACCGUUGUUUUGGUGCAUCUUCAGCUUCCUUGCUGCAGUCACCUCCGAGGAGAUGAAGAGAACGAAGAAGAAGAAAAAAGCCAGCAAUGAAUAACCACGUCCCUUUCCACUACUCAUUCUUAUUCCUUUCUCACUAUUAUGGAGAGAGAAUUGAAUUUGUUUUGAAGAUGAAGUUUGAGAAUCAUUUCCGAUUAUCUUUUAUAGCCAAAAGAGAGUGGAAAAAAAACGAAAAUUUAAUUAAUAAAUUUUGUUUUGGAUAAUUACUAUGAAAAUUUAAUCAAUAAAUUUGUUAUGGAUAUGGACGUAAAUAAUAUGUAUAGAUCAUAAGAAAACUUGUAUUUAAAAGAUGAAAGACCAAAAAUUAUAUACGGUUCAAACUCACUAAAUAGAAAUUAUAAUGGAUGACCAUUUAUCCUUAAUAAUAAUUAAGGUUAUAUUAUACACAGUUUAGUUUUUCAAAUUUAUUAUACACCGUUUAGUUUUUCAAAUUUAAGAUGUAAUGUAAUCUCUUAAAAUAAAAUUAAAAAAUAUAGCUUCAUAUCAAAUAAAUUAAACUUUUGGGUUCGAAUUUUCUUUUUAUUUUAUAAUAUUUGAUUCAUAACUUUAUAUCAAAGCACUUUUUCCUUGUUUUGUUCUUAAAUUACAAAUUUAAUAGGAAUAUUGAUGUAUGUUUUUUUAUUGUCCAAAAUUAAAUAACUCCUUUUCAAAUCAAAAGUUUAAAUGCAUGUACCUUCACUUUUGUUUGAUAAAUAUAAAAAUGAAAGAAAAAGGAGAAGAAAUGGGAUUAGUCUAAAAAUAUAGGAAGUAAACAUAAAGAGAAUAACUAGGUUUUUUUUUAUAAAUGUAAUAUAUAUAUAUAUUUCCUGUCAAAUCAAUUUGCAUUAUUAGUUUUGAAUAGUCUAAAUAAAUAAUUGUGCAAUGCAUCUACAAACACAUGUAUAUAAUUGUAUAACUAUAAUAAUAUCGAUAAAAUCUGAAAUUUUAUCAACAUUUUUAUUUUAUAAUAAUUUUUCAAAAUUUAAAAUCUUAUACAUUAAUCAUCAUGCAUACAUUUAUAAAUAUUAUUUUUCUCGUAAAAAGUAAAAUAAUUAAAAAAUUGAUAAAAUUGAUGUAUGAAACAUUCAUGAUAAUCAAGAAAAAAGACAAUACUAAAGGCCAACUCGUGUAUGCAUUUAUCUUCAUGCAUUGUUAUCCUUCAAUCACAUAUGACUUUACAAAACAUCUCUAAAAGGAAAAAUAAAAUAAAAUUUAUAAUUGAACACUUAAAUAUGAGUGACACAAACAUAUAUGUAGUUUAAAAUGUAUCAAAAUAAUUUUUUCGUAAACAUCUUAUUUCAAAUGACCCACAACUCCAUGGCAUGCCAAAUUAAAUUAUGAAGACCAUUGACUUCAAUUUUCCACAUAAGUUCCUUUAGUUGGGGUCUACUUGAUUAAGAAAGAAUGCUUCAUUAAACUCAACCAAUAAAAUAGUAUUAAAAAGAUAAUUAUUAAAAUGUUAAAAUAGGAUUUUAGUCAAUACAAUUAAAGUUUUUUGCUCCAAAUUUAUAGUCAUGCAUGCUACCUUUAAUCAUUCAACUCAUUAUAUACUAAAUACCCCUAUGUGGGGUGCAAUAAUGAAAAACCCAAAAACAAAAUAUCAAACCAAAUCUAAGGUUAUAUUUUAGAAUGGUUUUUUAUUAGAAAAAUCAAUCAACAACUAAAUCAAUUAAUACAUCUAGAAUCUAUAGGUUAGUUUUGAUUCUUAAUCAACCACACAAGCAUACAAUAAAUAAAUAUAUGUAAUAUAUAUAUUAUUGAAUUUCUUACUCUCACACACAUGCACCAACAAUAAUAUCUCAACUACUCCAAAAAUUUCACAUACAAUACAAGUCUAUCAGCUAUAAUUUUGUUAUAUUUGCAAUUUUUUUAAAAUGUUGUUGUAUCCUUAAUUAUUAUUCCUCAAAUGGUCAUCUAUUAUAAUUACCCUUCAUUUUAUUAGAGGAAAAAACUUCAUAAAAUUGAAGUGUAAUUAUAAUGACAAUUAAUAGGGCUACCAAUUUGGAAGACGACCAUGCAUUGACUCAUAUUUCCCUACAAAAAUUUUCUUUUCAUUUAGUUUUAACAAACAAAAGUGUCAUUAUUAUAGUUUAAUUGAUUAAAAUAUGUAGCAUCAAUCAACCGUUAAUCAAAAUAUUACAUUCUUUUAAUUCAAGAUUUUUUUAAGAUAAUAUAUUUUAAUUAGGGACAUUUGCAAAAAUAGAGAAAAGAAUGAUAAUAAAGUCUAUAUCACUGUUAUUUUUAAAUUGCAAAAGUAUGAGAUAAUGAAAUUUAAAUGGUAAGAAGUAAAGAUAAAUUUAGGUUUUUUUUUAAAAAAUGUUGCCACGAUAUUUUUAAAAUUACAAAAAAUUUUAAAAAAAUGUCUUUAUCGUUUGUAUAUGUGGACAAAAUUAUGAUGGCUUAUAUUGCAUCAACAAUACUUCUAACAAUGCUACCAUGGUUAGUAUAUGGAUGAAAACAAUUUAACGACCUUGCUCUUUUAUUUUUUUUCUUGUGUCUCUUUCAAUCUAGCUAGACAUUUUUUUCCACUCUCUUAAUCUCAUUAUUUCAUUCCCUACCAAUUCAAUUUUAACUUGGAUCACUAACCAAUCAUAGAAGUUAUAAAUUGGUACGAAACAAUAUGUCUAGAUGGUUCAUAUAAGCAAUAUAUAAUAUACACAAACUUUUCUGUCAUUAAUAUUCUUAUUUUUCUUCCUUUAUCAUACUUUGGUUGGUUUUUUCCUAUCCACUGCAAUUGUUUUCAAAAGAAAAUUUAAAACUAAAAUGAAAAGAAAAAAAAUCUUGAGUUUGUGUCACACGUCCAACUUCUAAAGUGUGGAGUAAUUUCUUUUAUUUAUUAUCAAACGUUCAUUUGAACUUUAAAUUUGUUUGUUAUAUCAUGAGAUAUAAAUAUAAAAUUUUGCUAAUUAGAUUGGUGAUUGAAAUUUAUAAAUAUUUUAAUUUAUUUUAUUAUUUUAAAAAUGUCUCUACAAAUUAUGUUGGAGCUAAAUGUGAUUUGAUAAUUAUUUAAUCAAUUAUUUAGGGUCCGUCCGUUUAAGAAAUAGAAAAAGUAUAAAACUGACUAUUUUUUAAAAAUUCUAAAUUUGUCCUUCCUUGUAUCACUGUCAUUCGUCUUGAUUUUUUUUUCUUGAUAUCCUUUUCAUUAUAUUAAAAUAAAAAACUUCAUGGAAUUGAAGGUGGCGAUUAAUGAUGGAAAUUAUGGGCCACAAUAGGCCUACCAAGUUGGACGACCAUGCAUUGACUUAUAUUCAUUUACUCGAAAUAUGAAGAAAAGUUUUAAUUGAUUAUAGUUUAAUGCAUGGAAUGAAAUAUGGAGAUCAAUCCAGAGCUAAUUAAUCAAAAGAACACAGAGAAAUUUUUGUAACAUAAUACAUUUAAUUUAAUUAAGGUUAAAUUAUACACAAUUUCGUUUUUCAAAUUUAAGAUUUUAUGUAAUCUCUUAUAAUAAAAUUAAAAAAUAUAAAUUAAACUUUUAAAUUCUCAUUUUUUUUUAUUUUAUAAAUUUUGAUUCAUAACUUUUGUAUCAAAGCACUUUUUCUUUGUUUUGUUUCCAAAUUACAAAUUUAAUAGGAAUGUUGAUGUAAGUUUUUUAUUGCCCAAAAUUUAACAUCAACAAAACAUUCAAUAUAUCAAUAUAAAUAUGUGCCAACGUAAAGAUAUAUUAAUGCUAAUUAUUAAAUAACUCCUAAGUAAAAGUUUAAAUCUCUUUCACAUUUGUUUGAUAAUAAAAAUUAAAGAAAAAUGAGAAGAGAUGAGAUUAGUCUAAAAAUAUAGGAAGUAAACAUAAAGAGAAAAACUAGGAUUUUUCUUUAUAAAUGUAAAAGGUAAACAAAAAAAAAAAAAAAAGAAGAAGAAGAAGAAAGAUACGUUAGAAUGUAUUAUUGGAAUUGAAUGUAUUAUGAAAAAUAUUAUUUCAAAUGAAUCACAAUGCCACAAAUUAAAACUUGACUAACAUUGACUCCAAUUUUCCACAUACGUUUCUUUCGUUUAGGUCUACUUGAUUAAGAAAGCAUCAUGCAAUCAAUUCAACAAUAGUAUUUUAAAAGAUAUAUUUAUUAAAAUGUUAAGAUAUCAUUUUUGUAUUGUAAGUCUUUUUUUCUCCAAUUUUUAGUCAUAUCAUUCUAAUGAAUAUGUACUAACUAGUCUAUGUAAGGGUGCAAUAAAAAACCGAAGAACAAAAAAUCAAACCAAACUAAUGGGUUGGUUUGGUUUUUUUAGUAUAAAGUUGGACAUAUCUUCAAUUUAUAUUUGUAGAAAAGAAAAGUUAUGUAAAUGGAACUAAAUCAAUUAGUUUAUAUAAAAUCGAUUGGUGAGUUUUGAUUCUUAAUCGACUUCCAAAUAUUUCCACAAUAAGAUAAAAUAAAAAAAAUCUCAAAUAAUUUCAAACACCCAAUAUAGUAAUAUAUAUAUAUAGAACUUCUAAUUCUCCAAAAUGUUCACACACAAUAAAAAUAAUAUAUAUAAUAUAGAAUUUCUCAAAUUCCUCAAAAAUUUCCACCAACUUCCAAAAUUUUGGAAAUCCACUCCCUUCCAAUUUUUUAAAAAAUUUCAUCGAUGUUGUAUGUUCUUGCGAGAUUUACCAAAUGUUUCUAUUUAAUUAGAAAGAUCAGAGAGACAAGUUAGGUCAUAGAUUUCUCAAAUUUAUUUAAUGUCAUAUGGGCUUGAGCAUGAAAGCUAACUUUUAAAUUUGAACAUUCCAUUAUUUGUGGUUUGAUAAAAAAGAUCAAAGCUAUUCAAUGUGCCUUUGCCAAAAAAAAGGAAAAAAAAUUGGCCACAGGGACUAAUGUCCACCAUUAAUUACAUUAUAUUUAUUCUGCAUCAAUACAUCAAAUAACUUUCAUCUUUCUCUCUCAUUAGCUCUAUUUCUAUCUAAGAUGAUAAACUCAAUUUGAAAUAUGAGAGAAAAAUAUAAGAUGAAGAUAAAAGAAAAAAAAAAGUCUUAAAACUUUUAUUUAAAGAGGUGUGAAGUUAUAUCAGUCUGAAAAGUUGUAUAAUCGUGAAUCCAAACUAGAAGUAUAUAAAUCAUGAAAUUUGAUGGUUUUUUCAGCAUGUGACGUAAAAACUUCUUAAGUUAAACAAAUGACUUCACUUAUUUGAACUCAUGAGCCUAACUAUAUAUUAUCUUAGGGUGUUACAUUUGUGACUUCAUUAGCAUAGUUGCAACAUUGGAUGCAUUGUCGACUAAAACGAUUGAAACGACAGCAACCAUGUGAGCAACCAUGUCCACCUCUACCAUACCCACCGCAUGAAUUUCUAGAUUAAUUUCCGCAGCCAGGGGUGUCCACGGAGCUGCAGCGGCCGUCACGUAAAAGGUCUCUUGCUGCCACUUUUGAGGACUGGACAAGAACGACUAUGAUGGAGAAAACAAG
rnacentral:lncRNA from 1 species